rnacentral:lncRNA from 1 species
GUGGUUGUAGACAACACCUUCGCUCCCAUGGUUCUUUCCCCUGCUCGGCUUGGUGCUGAUGUGGUUGUCCAUAGUAUCUCCAAGUUCAUCAGCGGUGGAGGCGAUGUUAUUGCAGGUUUGUUUGUCGUAUGUUUCUCAUUUACGGUACACGCGUCUGACAUAUCAUCUCAUUGUUUUACGUCGGAAAAAGAGCCAUCAGUGACGUUUUAUCCUUUGAUUAAUUAAGUUAAAUAGUGGUAUCUAGGAAAUUGUUUUCAGAGUUUUGAUGAAAACUGCAUGCCUUCUUUAAAAAAAAAAAAGAGGAGAGAACAGAAAAUACUAUGAAUUGAGGAUUCAUAAUCGUAAAAUAAAAUGAGAAAAAAUAUGGUCUUCCGCAUUCCAAAAGUUCGGAUUCAUGAAAGGCAAACGAAUAGAUAUCUGGUAUGAAAAUAAAAACUCUAUAAAUAAUGGAUCGAAAAAAUGUUUUAGGCUAGUGGGGGAACAUGUUCUCGUGAAUGAUGAUAUAAGGAAUAGUUAAACUUUUAUUGGCCUAGUGUUAAAAAGAAAGCUUAACAAGACAUGUAAGAUAGAAGUUCGAACUUAUCAUCCCAAUUCUCCGAUCCUUUGGAUAAAAAAACUUUAAAAAAUAGUUAAGUUUGGUUUUCUAACUAUCUUUUUUAUGGCUGAUAAGGAUACUCUCCGGCAAUUUCACUAAUUUUUCAAAUUUUCACUGAUAAUAUCAUCAUCAUGGAUUUGAGGUGUGCAUUCCGAUCCUCCUUUGCCUCUUAUGGAUAAGCUUUCAUGUGAUGGGUUCUGUCUUUUUUAUUUUUGCGAUAAAUUCUGUCUACAAACUUAAAAUUUCAGGGCCUUAAAAUUGACAUUUUCUAGUUGAAAAGUAAAAGUGUCUCUUUUACAAAUUCUUUUAAUAAUCGUUUGCCCUAAUGUUAUUAGUAGCUAACUUCUAGGCAAAACAAACUUGCCAAAACCAUUAGUUCUUGUGAAAUAUAAAAUCUUUUUUUUAGUACCGUUUCAGUUUCUUGUAUUGGAAUAUAGUAACUAUCAUUGUCAGAAUUGUAGGCAGUAUUUUGUUAAUCCAAUAAAAUGGCAACUUUCAGGUGCUGUUUGUGGUCCAGGAAGGCUGGUGAACUCCAUGAUGGACCUUCAUCAAGGUGCUUUGAUGCUCCUAGGCCCGACCAUGAACGCCAAGGUUGCCUUCGAACUCUCUGAAAGGAUCCCUCACUUGGGCCUACGAAUGAAGGAGCACAGUCGCAGAGCCAUGGAUUAUGCCGCUAGAAUGAAGAAAUUGGGAUUCAGGGUGAUCUACCCGGGCCUUGAGGAUCACCCUCAACACGAGCUGUUGAAGUCCAUGGCCAACAAGGAAUAUGGGUUUGGUGGUCUUCUUUGUGUUGACAUGGAAUCUGAAGAAAGAGCUAACGGGCUGAUGGACCACUUGCAAAACUACAGUCAAUUUGGGCUCAUAGCGGUUAGCUUAGGUUACUAUGAGACUCUGAUGUCAUGCUCUGGUAGUAGCACCAGUAGUGAAAUGAAUGAUGAAGAGAAGGCACUUGCCGGUAUUUUGCCAGGGCUGGUGAGGAUGUCCAUUGGAUAUAUUGGGACACUGGAGCAGAAGUGGAGCCAAUUAGAAAAGGCGCUAUCUAGGAUGCACGAUUCCACCUCAUUCAAUGAAAACUAAAGUUCUUUCAUCUCGUGUUCAAUAAUAAGUUUGCCGUAGUUUACGUAAAGAAGGUUUUAUUUUUGGUAUUUCAAUUGUUAAAGGCUGGACCUUUUGCGUAAUAUAAUGUUUUUUAGAAAAGGAAAAUAUAAACUUGAACUUCAACAAGUCUUCUCUAGAUGCAACAACUUAGAACAAAAGUGAAGAUAAAAUAUACCAUAAGUUGCGCUUUCUUUGCCGUUGAUUCUCUUUUCAAUUUGACUUUGCCCAUAUUCAACGUUGAGCUUUAUCAUCUUCCUAGAAUUUGUGUCCAAACGAAAGGUGGAGGAGAAGAAAAAGAAUCGCUGAGUCAGCUAUCCAGUGUCCAAACGUGAACCAAUGGUUUUUUCUUCUGUAAACAAUGUUCUUGCCGUCGGGCCCUGCAACUAUGGCAUGCUACAGCCCAAAGUUCACUAUUUUUAAGUGAAAGUCUGAAACACAAAACUCGUUCAGGCCAGUGUUUAGAAUCAACCAACUUUUGUUAAGAGUUAAAGGUAGCAGAAGUAAAGAUCAACUGAUCAAGCAAGUACUUAUCAUCAUCAAAAAAUCAUAUGAAGAGGGUCAGGACCAAGAAAACUGGGGUUCAAUAAAUUAUUUGCCAACCAAAUAUAUGGGCCAAAUAGAUGGGCUUCAUUUAACAAAAAUUUAUAUAUCAGAUUCCAUUGCCCUGACAGUUUUUUAUUGGGCUUACAACCCAAAGAAAUAAAGCUAAUCGAGGCUUUUCUUAGGACCAAUUCCUAUACCAGCAUUCAUCGAAGAGAAAAGGAUAUACGAAAAUAUGCUAAUGAUUAUAUUAAAAUGCUUUUUAAAAACUUAGCUUAGUCGAAUUCAACCGAUAUUAACAUGACAGAUUUAAAUAUAAUAAUGGAGGCUUGUCAAACGUGUUUAUUUUUUGGGAAAAAAAAUUCAAAAAUGGCAUAGAUACAUUAGUUAUAUUUUUUGAUUAAAUGGCAAUUUUAUUUAUCCAAGAAGUAAGAAAGAUAAACUUGCUACAAAAAAAUUCAUCAAGUAUAAUGGGUACCAGCUAUUAUAUAUGUACAGAUAAAGAAUUACAAAGUUCAUAGUGUAUAAAAAGUUUCCGAAUUAUAAUUAAAAAUUAUUUAAUUUUUAUUUAAUUUUUAUUGUAAUUAAUCAACUCCUUCAAUAUUUAUUUGCAUCUAAUUAAAUUUUUAUUUAGUUGAAAAAGUUGACAUCGUUAGUUAUUUUUGUGAAAUAAGAUAAACUUUUAUUUGACAUCAAUAAAAUUGAUAAGAAUAUGUCACAUGAGACAUUUACAUUAAGAAUAUUAGGAUCACUUACAUUAGUGUAAGUUUUGCAUUUGUUUAACUUUUAGAUCAAAAUUAAAUCCAUGUCUAUUUUGAAUUCUUUUGUCUUAACUAUUUAGAUCAAUGAUAAAAAAAAAAUAAAAUUAAGUGGAUCUCUUUUUAUAUAUAAAAUUUUUCGUAUUCAAAAUUAUACUAUUAUAUAUGACUAUUUAAUGUUAAUAGAUCAAAGCGUUGAGAUUAAACUGUUUUUUCUCAUUUUUACUUAUUUAUCUUAUUCAUUGGAUCUAUUAAAAUUAAGAAAUAGAAAAUUUUGUAAAAUUAAAAAAAAUUUAACACUAUAUAAGUUAUACCUCCCUAUAUAUAUAUAUAUACAUUUACACUUGCAUCAUUUAUCUUCUUUAUUUAUUUAUUUUUGAAUGAAUUUAUUUUCUUUAUUUGUUUGUUUAUUUCCUAAAUUUAAAUCAUGAAAUUAAUUAUAUAUUGAAGCUAAUUACAAUAUUAUUUGUUUGACAGAAAUUUAAGUUGCGUCAUGCAUGCAUGAUUCAUGCAUGUGCCCAGCGUAUGAACAAAAAAGAAAUGAUUUCUGGUCUCAACAUACUCCAUCAUAAUUACAAUAUUAGUAGUAUUUCUUUAUGGCUUUGACGAAAAUGACAAACUCUUCUUUCCUUCCUUUAAGCCCUCGAAGGGAUAAAUGAACGUAUGGAGGUACAAAGCUGGAACUAAGAAGAGUUUCUCUUGCAUUUAUGAUCCAGGAUCGAUCUAAGACACUCAACCUUAAAAAAAAAAAAGAGGCGGUGGCCUGCUGGUUGAUCAGAUAAGAACACCCACUCACCGUUGUUGUCAACAAAUAACAAGUGUCCAUGGUUCUCAUUCGUCAGGAUUUUGAUGAAGGAAUUCAUAGCCCCACUUGGAUUGUGAUGUGCUUACAAUUUGCUCGGAAGGGGAUAUGAUUUUUCUUCUUUUUCAAUUUCUCACUCUUUUCAUUUUUUAACAAGGUUUUAUCAAUGAAAACGUGGCAUAUUGCAGUUGCAGAUCAUGUCCGAAUAAGUCAAGAUCCAAACCAGAAAAGAAAAGAAAAGAAAAGAAAGGGAAUUAAAAUCGUACUGGCAUUACAUAAGUUGGAAUGAAAGGAUAUUCCGUAGGGAAUUGAAAAUUCUCAAAAUAUAUUAGUUGUUAAAAUUAAUUUCAUUCAAAUUUUGGUUAAAAACAAAAGUCAAAAUAGAGACCACACAAAAACGACAAAACAACCUUGCAAUUAACAAACGACACUGUUAUGAAAAUUAAUCCUUUAAAUGUAUGGUUCUUUCCCCUGCUCGGCUUGGUGCUGAUGUGGUUGUCCAUAGUAUCUCCAAGUUUAUCAGCGGUGGGAGCGAUGUUAUUGCAGGUUGGUUUGUAGUAUGUGUCUCAUUUACGGUACACGCGUCAGACAUUAAUCUCAUUUUUUUACGCUGGAAAAACAGCCAUCGAUGACAUGUGUUUUCAGAGUUUUGGUGAAAACUGCCCACUUCCAAAGAAAAACCGAAAAUACUAUGAAUUGAGGAUUCAGAAUCAUAAAAUAAAAUGGGUAAGGAAUAUAGUCAUGCACGUUCCAAAAGUUCGGAUUCAUUAAAGGCAAACGAUCGAAUAUGAUUCUGGUAUGAAUAUAAAAACUCUAAAUAAUGGAUAGGAAAAUUGUUUUAGGGCUAGUGGGGGUGGGGGAGGGGAACUUUUCUCGUGAAUGAUGAUGCUAUUACGUACCGGUAACUUGCAAAGCAGGCAAAUAUUAUUCAAACACAAAUUCUCCUGUUUCUACUUUAAUAAAUAGAUUAAGCCAAUGUAUUAUAUAUAAAAUUAUGAUAAGAUAAAAUAAUAUUAUAAAUAAAAUAAAAUAAAAUAAUUUUAUUUUAUAUUUGAUAUGUGUAAAAAUUAUAAUAAAAUAAUUUAUUUAUUGAUCAAAUUAUUUUUUAAAAAAUUUUAUAUAGUUUAAAUUAUUAAUAUAAUUUUUAAAAAUAUAAUAAAAUAUAUAAAUUCAAUCUUAUAAAUUAAAAAUAAUUUUUUUACUUUAAAAAAAUUAAUUAUCUUACAUUAAAAAGACGAUGAUUUUUUUUAUAAUCAAAUUAUAGUUUUAAAUAUAAAUUAAAUAUAAUAAAAUAAUUAUCAUUUUAUUUUAUAUAUUAUUCUGUACAGCAAAUAUGACCUUGAUUCGUUUUCUAACUAUCUUUUUUAUGGCUGAUAAGGAUAUUCUCCUGCAGCUGCAACUUCACUAAUUUUUCAAAUUUUCACCGAUAAGGAUUCCAUCAUUGUCAGAGAAUCCUGGUAGUGUAGGCAAUAUUUUGUUAAUUCAAUAAAAUGGGAAUUUUCAGGUGCUGUUUAUGGUCCUGCAAGCCUGGUGAACUCCAUGAUGGACCUUCAUCAAGGUGCUCUGAUGCUCCUAGGCCAGACCAUGAACUCCAUGGUUGCCUUUGAGCCCUCUGAAAAGGAUCCCUCACUUGGGCCUUAAAUGAAGGAGCACAGUGGCAGAACCAUGGAUUAUGCCACUAGAAUGAAGAAACUGGGCCUCAGGGUGAUCUACCUGGGCCUUGAGGAUCAACCUCAAGACGAGCUAUUGAAGUCCAUGGCCAACAAGGAAUAUGGGUUUGGUGAUCUCCUUUGACAUGGAAUCUGAAGAAAGGGCUAACAGGCCGAUGCACCACUUUCAGAACUACAGUCAAUUUGGGUUCACAGCGAUUAGCUCGGGUUACUAUGAGACUCUGAUGUCUUGCUCUUGUAGUAGUACCAGCAAGGAAUUGACUGAUGAAGAGAAGGCACUUACCGGUAUUUCGCCAGGGCUGGUGAGGAUGCCCAUUGGAUACAUUGGGACACUGCAGAAGAAGUGGAGUCCAUUAGAAAAGGCGCUCUCUAUUAUGCACGAUUCCACCUUAUUCAAUAAAAACUAAAGUUCUUUCAUCUCGUGUUCAAUAAUGGGUUGGUCGUAGUUCAUGUAAUGAAGGUUUCAUUUGUUCUAUUUCAGUUGUUAAUGUAAGUCAUAGAGAUAAUAUAGAUGGUUAAAAAAAAAAAAAAGAAAAGAACUAUAUAUAUGUAGAAGUGUGGAUCGAAUAAAUUUGGAAUUAAUUCUGUAAAUGUUCAUGUAGACAUUAAUGCAAAUUUGAAAAAACAUAUAUGAUUUGUGUUGUCAUAUUUUUUAUUUUUUAUAAAAAGGAGAUUACAAUAUGAUGAUAAAAAAUCAUGAAAAAUAAGCUAUAACGACUUACUGGAUGCCAUUUAAAUUGUCUAUACAUGCAAAAUAUCACAAAAAAUAAGUUAUCAUGUAUAUUUUGUUUCUCUCUUUUUGUUUCUUUUGUAUACUUUAUUUAUCAUCAUCACUGUCCGGAUAUACAUUAGCAUGUGGAAUUAGAGGGAAAAUUAUACUAUCAUAUCUUUUCUGACUAUGCAAAACUUAUAUAUACAUAUAUAUAUAUAUAUAUAUCUGUUGCACUUGCAUCCUUAUCUUAUUUAUUUGUUUGUUUAUUUCCUUUGUAUCUAUACAUAUUUAAACCAUAAAAUUAUAUAUUGAAGCUAAUUACAAUAUUAUUUUUUUAACAGAAAUUCAGCAUGAUUCAUUCAUGUGCCCAACGUAUAAACAAAGAACGAAAUGAUUCUUGCUCUCAACAUACUCCAUCAUGAUUACAAUAUUAGUAGUAUUUCUUUUUGGCUUUGAUGAAAAUGACAAAGUCCUCCUUGAAUUUGUUAGAAAAAUAAGGUCCAGCCUCAUGUAAGUGGUUUUAGACCAAGUAAAGGUUAUGAGCCUUGAUCUUUCAUUUUACACAGACAUAUAGUUACUUAAUAAAAAAGAGGUGGGGUUAUUUUAAGUGGGUGUCGAAAACCAAGUAAAGAAAAAAGAAAAGUAAAAAAAAAUAGAGAAAAAAGAAAGAAAGAAGAGUUGGUUGAACAGAAGUCGAUCUGUGGUCCGAUUGAGUUGGAACCUUGUCAGGAGGUUUAUGAUUCAGAGUUCUACAUUCUGAACGGUGAAGAUCGAGUAUAAAGCUCUCUAGGAACAAAUCCAUGGUGUAUUUAUUGAGUAACUUAUUUGGUUAGAUUUCUCAAAUUGUUUCUCUAGUUGUUGAUUAGCUCUAGUUUUAGCUAGAGAAGAACUUUGUAUACCUAUUAUUUGAUAGUGAAGAUUUUUCUGGUGGUUCGUGAUUUUUUUCUCUACAUUGGAGGGUUUUUUACGUAAAUCUUGGUGUACUUUAUUUUUUUUUGCGUUUUUUGAUUACUGAUUGUUGUCUAUUAUUUCUGUAUUAUUAUGAUUAUUACUUCAGGUGCAACAAGUGAUAUCAGAAUGAGGGUUAUUUUGAAACAUCGAUACAUAAGCAACCUCGGAUAAAAGUAAAUUAUGUUUGAGAUCAUGAAGGGUGAUACAGGUUUCUUGAUAAAAUUAACAACAUCGAAUUAUUCAAUUUGAAAGUCUAUGAUGGAGGAUCAUCUAUACUGUAAAGAUUUGUAUGAGCCAGUAUUGGGUGAUUCAACUAAACCAACAGAAUAAAAGAUGAAAGCUGAAAGAAGCUAGGUAAAAAGAUGCUAGCUACAAUCAAAAAAUAGGUUGAUAUAAGUGUGUUCCAUCAUGUAACGCAGGAGUCAGAUGCUCACAUUGUUUGAAAAAAAUUGACAGCAUUGCAUGAGAGAAAAAUAGGUAUGAAUAAAGUUAUGCUUGUUAAAAAGCUUACAAUUUUACAGUACAGGGAUGAACGAUCUGUUACAAAGCACUUGAGUGAUUUUCAAGAUAUAUUUAAUCGGAUGACUACUAUGGUACUUAAGAUGGAUGAUGAAAUGAAGACGUUAUUUCUUUUGGGUUCAUUGUCAAACAGUUGAAAUACUCUAGUUGUGACUGUUCUUAAUUCAGCUCCUGAUUAUAAGGUGACAUUGGAAAUGGUAAAGGACAAUAUGCUUAAUGAAGAAGCAAGAUGAAAAGAUGUAGACCCUGAAAAUCAAGCUCUGGUCACAGAAAACAGGGAUAGAAAUAUCGACAGAGGUCAUGACUCAAAAAGUCAUAGUAAGUCUAAACAUAGAUCCCAGUCUAGAGGUAAAGUGAAGUGUUGCUAUUGUGGUAAGGCAUGUUAUAUAAAAUGAAACUGUAAAAUCUUGAAGCAAGAGCGAAAAGAUAAGAAAGGUAAGAGUUCAGAUGAUGGUAACGUUAUAGCAGUGAAUUCAGAUAGUGAUUCAGUUACUUUGAUUUGUACACAUGAUGAUUGUAAUCAUAUUAGUGAUCCCGACAUUAAGUGGAUAGUUGACACAGGAAUAACAUAUCAUUGUAUUUCUAAGAGAGAGUUAUUUACAACUUACAAAGCAAGAGACUUUAGUUGUACUAAAAUAAAAAACAUGAGUGUGUCGUAGAUUGUUAAGAUUGAUGAUAUUGUUGUACAAACUAGUACAGGCUACAUGUUAACUUUGAGGGAUAUCAGACACAUUUCAGAUAUGAGAAUGAACUUGCUUGCUAUUAAUAUCUUUGAUAAGGAGGGAUAUGAAAGUCGACAAAAGAAUAGACAAUGAAAGCUUUUCAAAAGAUCUAUAGUAGUUGCAAGAGAAAAAUUAUGCUGCACAAUAUAUAAGACAUGGAUGUAAUUGAACGGUAACCAGGUAAAUGCCAUUAAAAAUGAUGCUUCAACAAACUUAUGGCACAGGAGGCUAGCACACAUGAGUGAAAAAAGUUUACAGGUUUUGGCAAAGCCAUCUCUUAUUUCCUUGACCAAAAGUAUGUCUCUCGAUUCAUGUAAUUAUUGUUUGUUUGGUAAGCAUCAUAGAGUUUUUUUUCGUAAAAGUUCUCAGAGAAAAAAAAGAUUGAAAUUAAUUUAUUCUGACAUAUGUGGUCCCAUUGAGGUUAAGUCAUUAGGUGGUAGCAGAUAUUUUAUUACUUUUGUUGAUGAUGCUUCACGUAAGACUUGGGUGUAUAUGUUGAAAUACAAAAGUCAGGUACUACAGUAUUUUUAAAAAUUUUAUAUCAUGGUUGAAAAGAUGACAAAGUUAUCCUUGAAGUGUAUUCGAACUGAUAAUAGUAGGGAAUACACAUCUAAAUGCUUUGAAGAGUAUUGUUCAAAGUAUAAGAUCAGGCAUAAGAUGAUAGAACCUGGAACACCGUAGCAUAAUGGUAUAACUGAAAGAAUGAAUCGUACCAUUAUGAAAAAAGUCAAAUGUAUGUUGAGGAUGAAAAAAUUACCAAAGCCAUUCUGGGGUAAAACAGUUAACACGACUUGUUAUUUACUUAACAGAUCACCAUCAGUUCUUUUGAGCUUUGACAUUUCAGAAAGAGUGUAGACAAGAAAAGAUACUUUAUACUCUCACUUGAAAGUUUUUGGGUGUAAAGCAUUCAUGCAUGUGUCGAAAGAGCAGAGAUCAAAGCUUGACAGUAAAGCCACACAGUGUGUGUUUGUAGGAUAUGAUGAAAAAUUUGAUUACAGGGUAUAAAAUCCAGUAAAGAAAAAGACAAUCAAAAGUAAAGAUGUAAUCUUUCAUGAAAAAAAAAUCAUAGCAGACCUUGAAAAAAAUGAGAAGACUACACGAGUUACUGUUGAGUAUGAUAUUUUAACACCGACAGAGAUUCCACAGAAAGAGCCACAAAUGGUGAAAAUGAGCAAGAAACAGAACUUGGAAAUAUGAAUAAGCUAGCCACAGUUGGUGAUGAGCCAGAUGUAAUUAGUUUUGAACAAGAUGAGCAAUCCUCUCUACCUGAGAGUGUUGAACAUGAGGAGUUACCUUUGGCAUCAAGUGAUAUAGAAUCUCAGCUUAGGAGAUCUACUAAAGAGUACAAGCCAUCUAUCAGGUAUCUAAGUUCAGAUUUUAUUUUAGUUACCAGUAAAUGAGAGCCAGAAAGCUUUCAAGAUGUACAGGCUAUUUCGGAUAGAGAGUACUGGUUAAAAGUAAUAAAAAAAUAGAUGAAAUCAUUGCAAAAGAAUGAUACUUACGAUCUUAUUAAACUUCUAACAGGGAAGAGGCCAUUAAAGAAUAAAUGAGUAUUCAAGUUGAAAAAAGAUGGUGAUAAACUAGUGAGGUACAAAGCUCGAUUGGUAGUAAAAUGGUUUUCUCAGAAAUCGGGCAUCGAUUUUAAUGAGAUUUUUACUCCAGUUGUAAAGAUGAGUUCUAUUCGAGUGGUACUGGGAUUAAUAGCUAGUUUAAAUCUUGAGCUUGAGCAACUUAAUAUUAAAACUAUAUUUUUGCAUGGUGAUUUACAUGUGGACAUUUAUAUUAAUCAGCUUGAGGGUUUUAAAGUGAAAGGGAAAGAGCACUUAGUUUACAAAUUGAAAAAAAAACUUGUAUGGCUUGAAACAAGCUCCGCGAUAGUGGUACAAGAAGUUUGAUUCUUUUAUGGUGAGUCAUAGCUAUAAAAAAUAACAGCUGAUUCUUGUGUGUAUGUUAAACAAUUUUCUAAUGGUAACUUCAUUAUCCUAUUAUUAUAUGUUGAUGAUAUGUUAAUUGUAGGAUAAGAUGCUAGUAUGGUUUACAGGUUGAAAGAACAAUUGUCUAAGUCUUUUGAUAUGAAAGAUUUAGGUUCAGUAAAACAGAUUCUUGGUAUGAACAUUAUCCGAGAUAAAAGAGCUAAAAAGCUAUGGUUGUCAUAGGAAAAGUAUGUUGAACGAGUGCUUGGUAGAUUUAACAUGCAACAUGCUAAAUCAGUUAGCAGUCCAAUUACCAAUCAUUUUUAUCUAAGUAAGAAAUCUUGUCCAGUGUCUAAGGAAGAGUAACUAGCUAUGUCUAGUAUUCCUUAUUCUUCUGCGGUUGGUUCUUUAAUGUAUCUUAUGGUUUGUACAAGGCCUGAAAUUACUCAUGUAAUUAGUGUAGUGAGCAUAUUUCUUUCUAAUUCGAAAAAAAGUUCAUUGAAAAGUAGUGAAAUUGAUUUUUAGAUAUUUGAGAGGUACCUUAAAAAUGUGCUUGACUUAUAAAGUUUCACAACCAGUUUUAGAAGGGUUUACGAAUGCUGAUAUGGCAGACGAUCUUGAUGGUAGAAAAUCUACUUCAGGGUAUUUGUUCACUUUUACAGGAAGAAUUGUAUCUUGGCAAUCUAAGUUACAGAAGUGUGUUGCUUUAUCAAUUACAGAGAUUGAGUAUAUUACAGUAAUUAAAGCAUGUAAAAAAAUGCUUUGGAUGAAACGUUUUCUUUUUGAAUUGAGGUUGAAUCAGAAAGAGUAUGUGAUAUUUUGUGAUAACCAGAGUACUUUAGAUUUGAGUAAGAAUACCAUGUACCAUGCUAGAACAAAGCACAUUGAUGUUAGAUAUCAUUGGUUAUGUUCAGUGAUUGAAGAACAACGAUGCUAUUGAAGAAAGUUCAUACUGAUAAGAAUAUAGUAGAUAUGUUGACUAAGAUACUUCCAAGAAAAAAGCUUGAGCUUUGCAGUAACUUGGCCGGAAUGAGUUCCCUGGCCAAGGUAAGUUCCAAAUGAAACUGCUAUGGUGAUGAAUCUCCUUUUAAUGGGGCUGGAUGGGGAGAUUGUUAUGAAAAUGGGGUCCAACCUCAUGUAAGUGAUUUUGGACCAAGUAAAGGCCAUAGGCCUUGAUCUUUCAUUUUACAUAGAGUCCUAGCUACUUAAUAAAAAAGAGGUGGGGUUGUUUUAAGUGGGUGGCAAAAACCAAGUAGAGAAAGAAGAAAAGCCAAAAAAAAUAGAGAGAAAAAAGAGAAUGGAGAGUUGGUUGAACGAAAAUCGAUCCGUGGUCCGAUUGAGUUGGAACAUUGUCAAGAGAUUUAUGAUUAAGAGUUCUACAUUCUGAACAGUGAAGAUCGGGUUUGAAGCUCUCUAGGAACAAAUUCAUGAUAUAUUUGUUGAGUCACUUAUUUGGUAAAAUUUCUCAAAUUAUUUCUCUAGUUGUUGAUUAGCUCUAGUUUUAGCUAGAGAAGAACUUUGUAUAUUUAUUAUUUGAUAGUGAAGAUUUUUUUGGUGGUCCGUGAUUUUUUUCCUCUACACUAGAGGGUUUUUUACGUAAAUCUUGGUGUGCUUUAUUUUUUCUAUAUUUUUUUAUUAUUGAUUAUUAUUUAUUGCUUUUGUAUUGUUGUGAUUAUUGCUUCAGGCGUAACGAAAUUUGUCAAAACCCGACUUUCUUCUUUGUCAAAUCUAGACAUCUUGUCUUUGGUCCAAAUAAAAGGAUUACCCUGCUUUCAAAUACCUAACCUUUCAUAUCUCCACUUUCCGAUUACUAAUAAUAUGGGAUAUAGUAAUACAGUUUAUAAGUUAAUAGUAAUAAUUAAGCGGUGUUUUUCUCUUCAUAUCUCCUCUUUCCUUCGAAGGGAUAUUUGAAAGUAUGGAGGUACAUAACUGGAAAUAAGAAGAGUUCAUCUUGUAUGUAUGAUCCAGAAUCGAUGAAGACACUCAACCUUAAAAAAAAAAAAAAUGAGGUGCUGGCCUGCUGGUGAUCAGAUAAGAACAUUUUGCACGUUGUUAUCAGCAAAUAGAACGUGCCCAUGGUUGUCACUUGUCAGAAUCUUGAUGAAGUGGCAGAUAAACUUCCACUUGGAACGUGAUGCGUUUACAAAUUUUCUCGGAAGGGGAUAUCUUUUUUUUUUCUUUUCAAUUUCUAACUAACAGGGUUUUAUCAAUGAAAAUGUGGCAUAUUGUAGUUGCAGAUCAUGUCUCAUUAAGACAAUUUCAAAGCCAGAUAAGUAAAGAAAGGAAAAUCAUACUGGAAUUAUACAAGUCGUAAUGACAGAAUAUUACUUGUUAGAAUUAAUUUCAAUCAAAUUUUGGUUAUAAUCAAAAGUCAAAAUAGAGAUAUGACUUCACAAAAACGAUCUAACAAUUUGAUACGACACUGCUACGUGUUUGCGUUUGUAACAUCCUUUAAAAUGUCGUCUCUGUUAGUUUAUUGCAACGUCAAUAACUUAAAUUUGGUUUGACGAUUACCUACUUCUCUCGCCUUUCUCCAAUCUAAUAGAUAAAUAGUAGAAGUGCCGACUCCUUUUGAACUGUUGAUGUUGGCAUAUGGUUUUAUAGUUUUCUCCUUUACGCUUUCCACUCCAUGCACUAAUUAUGACCAAAUAGUCAAAAACAUACCUAUAGAUAUCUAUCUGCAUGUUUUGGAAGACUAAAGAAUAUUUAUUUGUCUUAAAAAAAAUUUACUAGCUGUUGUGUGUGAAAAGAGAGUUGCGAAGGCGUCGGUAAUAAUUUUAGGGUUGGGAUGGGUAAAUUAUAGGUUUAGAUAAUUUUUUAUUUUUGAGAAUCUAAUUACGAAAAGUUAUGAUUUGAUCAUUAAAAUUUAUGAAAAAUUUUUUUAUCAUUCAAUUAUUAGAAAUUAAUUAACGAAAUGUUGACAUAAUAUUAUGGUAUCAUUUGUCAAAAUGUCGUAUAAUAUUGCUUUGACAUUCGAUAUAUCAUAUGACACUAUUUGCGUAGCAUAAUAAGUUUUGAAAAUUAAACAAGAUAAAUUACAUUUUUAAUCUCUUAACUUUUUGAAAGUUUUUAUUGUUUUAAUCCAACUUUGAAAACUUUACAAUUUGAUUAUUAAUGUUUUUGAAAUUAUUCAUAUUUUUAAUAUUUUGUUACAUGAAAGUAAUGCUACAAAUUUUUAUUUUUAUUAGGAUGUUGUCGUUAUAAAAUAUUUAAUAUUUAAUAUUUAAUAUUUCAUUUAAGUUUUCUUGAUUGGUUAAUGUAAUAUAUUAAAAUACUUAAAUUUAUUUGAGUGAGCUGGAUGACAAAUACUUUUAAGUAAUGCUAAUCAAGUAAAUUUAGCAAUUGGCUUUAAUCAUAUUCUUUUUAAAUUUAAAGGGUAUAAUAAUUUUAAUUUUAUGCACUAAAAAUAUUGAUUGCUCAUUUUUUUAAUAAAGUUCAAAACUUUAUUUGAAUAUUAUCUUAGUAUCUUUCAAUAUAGAUAACAAAAAUAACAUAACAAUUUAUUAUUUUAAUAAAAAAUUGUUGAUUAAAUUGUUAUAAAGUCAUGUGACAAUGAGACAUUGAAAAAUUUUUCAGGAGCAUGUCAACUACAAUUGGGUGACCAAAAAUAAAUUCAUAAAGCUAAUAACUAAAUUUUAACUUUUCAUAAUUAAUGAUCAAAAUAAAAAAUCGUCUAAAGGUGAAUGAUUAAAAGUGUAAUAUAUUAUCGUUAAAAAAUACGUGUUAACCCUUCAAAAAAAUUGUUAAUUGGCAUAUACAUGAUAUUGUAAUAUUGUAAUUAAUAUGAAUUAAUUAAAUAUUUAUUUAUUCAAAAAAAUCACCUACAAAGUCUUUAUAAGCAAACAUCUAAAUAAUUAAUAAUGUCAUAUUUUAAUUUGAAUAUCUCGAUUUCAAAUCAUAUAAAUAAAGAAUUUGUAGAAUGCGAAAAAAAAUACCUUUUUUUUUUAUAAAUUAUUAUAUGUUAAAAUUAAAAUAUUGAACAAAUAACUGAGUAAUUGAAAAACAUGGUAAAAUUUUCAAAAUUUUCAACCCAUUUAUCGGAAAAAAAAAAGUUGUAACCCUUAUUUUUGGUAACCCCUACGAGGUUAUAACUUUAGGUAAAUGUAUAUAGGAAAUUUCCGAAAUCCCUAAUAAAAAACAGAUUAGAUUCACUGGAUUUUAUUUUAAGAAAAAGUUUAGGUAAUGUCACAUAAGAUAAUAUUUUACUUUUUUUAUAAUUAAAAUUAUCAAAAUUUAAAUUUGAUUAUUGAUCGCAGCACUAACUAUUUUGUCUAUCUCUUCCCCAGACGGCUCUUUAAUUCCUUCUCCUUAAUAAUUUUAUUUCAUCUUUCAAUUUUGCCAUUAACAUUUACGUCCCCACCAACAAAACCCAAACAACAAAAAAAGGAGCGAAAGAUUUCUUGGAGGUUGGUUCAAUCUUGAUUCCCGUUCCCUCUAGAAUUAAUUAUGGAAGAAACAGAGAACCCUGGCUUUGUUUUUACCGGAAAGAAGAGAGCUGCAGGGGCUGAUGGAUUUGACGGGGAUGAUCUUUUCGUGGCCAAGACAUCAACCCUAGCACCAGCAUGGGAAAAUGACCCUGCCGCUGCAUUAGCCAGCGCGCGCCAUGAAUUCGGUGAGCAUGGUGGCGUUAACAUGUCUAUUGAGGCCUCCGCCACAUUCACCGUCAUGGAACCUGAGACCAUGCGCCGCAUGUUUGCUGGUGAACUCGGCCCUGAUCGUGAUUUCUUCAUUUAUAGCCGUCACUUCAAUCCCACUGUCUUAAAUCUCGGUCGUCAGAUGGCAGCCAUGGAAGGAACCGAAGCUGCCUAUUGCACUGCCAGCGGUAAUUAAUUUUUCUGUUUCACUUUCACUUUUUAUUUCACACGUAAAAAUCUAAAAAACAUUAUUAUCAAAACCUUCAAUUUGAUGGUUAAUAAUUUGAUUUCGUGAUUACAGGUAUGUCUGCUAUUUCAUCCGUGCUGUUGCAGCUCUGCAGCAGCGGUGGACACGUGGUGGCAUCGAGGACUCUCUACGGCGGGACCUAUGCACUCCUAACCCAUUUCUUGCCCAGAGCCUGUAACAUCACGACCACGUUCGUGGACAUAUGCGAUCACGAAGCGGUGAAAAAUGCCAUCGUCGAAGGACGGACCAAAGUUUUGUACUUCGAGUCCAUGUCGAACCCUACACUCGCUGUAGCCAACAUUCCGGAGCUAAGCAGGCUAGCACACGACAAAGGAACCAUGGUGGUUGUAGACAACACCUUCGCUCCCAUGGUUCUUUCCCCUGCUCGGCUUGGUGCUGAUGUGGUUCUCCAUAGUAUCUCCAAGUUCAUCAGUGGUGGGGCCGAUGUUAUUGCAGGUUUGUUUGUCUCUUUUUUGUCAUUUACCGUACACGAGUCACACAUUAUUAGGUUGGAAAAAGAGCCAUCAAUUACGUGUAAUCUUCUGAUUAAUCAAGUUAAAUGGUUGAAUCUAGGAAUUGACUUCAGAGUUUCGAUGAAAAUUGGCUUUUUCCAAAAAAAAAGAAAAGAAGAAAAAAAAAUACUACCAUGAAUUGAGGAUUCUUAAUCAUAAAAUAAAAUGGGAAAUGAAUAUAGUCUACCAUAGUCCAAAAGUUUCGUUUUCUAGCUAUCUUUUUUAUGGUUGAUAAGGCUAUUCUCCUGCAAUUUCUCUAAUUUUUCAGUUUUUCACCGAUAAGAUCAUUAUCUUGAGGUGUGCGUUUCGAUCCUCCGUUUCCUCUUAUGGAUAAGCGUUCAUGUGAAGUGUUUUGUAUUUUUUAUUUUUCUGAUAAAUUCUGUAUACCAACUUAAAGUUUCAGGGCCUUAAAUUUGACAUUUCUAGUUGAAAAGUUAUAUAUCCCUUCUACAAAAGUUUUUAAUAAUCUUUUGCCCUAAUGUUGUUACCUUGCUAACUUCUAGGCAAAGCUAGAUUGCCAAAAACAUUAGUUCUUGUGAAAUAUAAAUGCUUUUUUAGUCAGUUUAUUGAUAUUGGAAUAUAGUAACUAUUAUUGACCGAGAAUCCUGGAAGUGUAGAUAUGCAUUUUGUUAAUCCAAUAAAAUGAGAAAUUUCAGGUGCUGUUUGUGGUCCUGCAAGCCUGAUGAACUCCAUGAUGGACCUUCAUCAAGGUGCUUUGAUGCUCCUAGGCCCGACCAUGAACGCCAAGGUUGCCUUUGAACUCUCUGAAAGGAUACCUCACUUGGGCCUAAGAAUGAAGGAGCACUGCCACAGAGCCAUGGAUUAUGCGACUAGAAUGAAGAAAUUGGGACUCAGGGUCAUCUACCCGGGCCUUGAGGAUCACCCUCAACACGAGCUAUUGAAGUCCAUGGCCAACAAGGAAUAUGGGUUUGGUGGUCUUCUUUGUGUUGACAUGGAAUCUGAAGAAAGAGCUAACAGGCUGAUGCACCACUUGCAGAACUACAGUCAUUUUGGGUUCAUGGCUGUUAGCUUGGGUUACUACGAGACUCUGUUGUCUUGCUCUGGUAGUAGUACGAGCAGUGAAAUGAAUGCUGAAGAGAAGGCCCUUGCCGGUAUUUCGCCAGGGCUGGUGAGGAUGUCCAUUGGAUACAUUGGGACACUGGAGCAGAAGUGGAGGCAAUUAGAAGAGGCGCUCUCUAGGAUGUAGGAUUCCACCUCAUUCAAUAAAAACUUAAGUUCUCUUGUAUUCAAUAAUGGUUUGGUCGUAGUUCAUGUAAAGAAGGUUUCAUUUGUGCUAUUUCAUUUUUUUUUUUUUGAAAUUUGCUAUUUUAAUUGUUAAAUGCUGGACAUUUUGCAUAAUAUAUUGUUUCUUUAAAGAAAAAAAAAAGACUUUAACUUCAAUAAUUCUUUUCUUUUCUUUUUUUUUUUUUUAGAUAUCCACAAAUCUUUUCUAGAUGCAACAAUUUAGAACAAAAUCAAAAAUAAAAUACAGGGUUAAUAUUAUGGUAAAAUGUUCAAUAUGAUUUUUAAAUUUAAAAAAUUUUUAAUUUGAUAUCUGAAAUAUAAAUUUUUUAAUUACUAUUAUACAAUUUUUAAUGUGAUUAAUUAACUAAAUGAUAACCCAAUAUUCAAGUUGAGCUUUACCAUCUUCCUAGAAUUUGUGUAGAAACAAAAGGAGAAGAAGAACAAGAAUCCCUCAGUCAACUAUGCAGUGUCCAUACGUGGCCCAAUGGUCCUUUCUUCCGUAACAUUCUUGCCCUCGGGCCUUGCAAUUAUGCUAUGCCACAGGCCGAAGUUAAAAUUUUAAGUGCAAGUCUGAAGCACAAUAGCAGUUCACAACAGUGUGUAGAAUCAACCGGCUCUUGUUAAAGGUAGCAGAAGGAAAGAUGAAACCAACAUUGAAGAAACAUAUGAAAAGGCUCUGGACCAAAAAAACUGGGGUUCAGAUACAUUAAUUUCCCACCCAACAUAUGGGCCAAAUGAAUGGGCUUCAUUUAAGAAAAAUUUAUAUAGUAGAUCUAUGGCCCUGGCAUAUUUAGGCUUCAAACCCAAACAAAUAAAGCUAAGUGAGGCUUUUCGUGGGACCAAUUCCAAAACCAGCAUUCUCCGAAGAGAAAAGUAUACACUAAAAUACAAUAAUAAUUAAAUUAAAAUAACUCUUAAAAACUUAGCUUAGUCGAAUUCAACAGAUUUUAACAUGACAAGCUAGCGACUGGUAUGCGAUGUUUUUUUUCUUCUUUCCUUCUUGAAGUAGACUCGUUCGGAUUGUUAGAUGGGUGAUUAUUCUUACUAAUUGGAGAUGGAACUAAUUUUCAAGGCUUUUUAUAAAAUUCUAUUAGAUAGUGUAACGAAAGCAUUUUUAUCUUAUCUAAGAUUGCAUUUUAUGAUUGAAUUUCUUUAAAAUGAAGUUAAGUAAAUAAUUUGCCCUCUAAUUUCUUUUUUUUUUAAUCCCCAAUUCAAGUUUAUAUGAUUUUCUUAAAAUUAUACAAUAUGAUUUUUUUUUAAAGAAAUGCUUUUCUUCAUCAUUAUAUAUGGAUAAUAAUUUCCAAAGUGAUCACAAUUAUCACACAUCUUUCAAAUGCUACUUGCAUCUGUCAUUGACUAGACUAAUUCAUUCACAAAACAUUUUCCACACUCUAAUAAUAGACCUAAAAAGUUUUGAGUAGCUAGUUAGGCCGCCUAAUAUAUAUAAUUUGGAAACCUUCGAACAUCAUAAUCUUACCCAUAUCCAACAUUAUAUCACUUGCUGGGUAUAGCAUGGACAAAAGGUGUUUUGGUUAAGAAAUAAUCAUUACAUAUAGUCAACUUUGUAUCACAUAAAAGAUGUUCAAGCCAAUUUCGAGCAUAUUUUUGUACAAAGAAAUCGCAAUACAAGAAAAGAAAAAAUAAUUGCAAGUAUUAUGAUUUGUUCUUUAGAUUUAUUGAAUAUCACAACUUAAAAAAUUCCGAAUUUUCAAGAUUUAAAUCAUUCAGUUAGCAAAAGUUUCGGUUUAAUGCUCCAUUGAAAUCUUAAUCAGUUGGCUAUCGCUGGUCAGUGCGCAUGAUCACCCAAAAACCCGACAUAUAUUCUACUUCCUCUGUUCUAUCACAUUAUUAUCAGUACAAUUUAAUAAUGAUCAGUUCAAUUUGCUGGACGUUGUGCCCCAUGAACUUGGUAUUAUCAUGUUUUUCAUCGAUAAAUCUUUCGUGAAUAACUGUACGUUUCACCUAAUUUCUUUGCCUUAUGAAUUUCCAAAUUUCCCUGGUUCAAUCACAAUGUUUGCCAUAUAAACAUUGUCUCAAUUAAAAUACAAUAUAUGUAUCAAAAUUAUUGCUUUUAAUUACUGGUUGAUCCAUGAACUAUAUGAUGAUGAUGAUGAUGAUGAUGAUGAUCUUAUGGCAGACCGUGCUUUAAAAUCUUCCAAAAUAGGCUGUAAAUUAUAAUUAGUUCGUGAAAGAAAACCUUUAACUAGCGACAAGGAACGAGUCUCUAGUCUUUAAAAGAAGAUAGUUUCAUUGCUUCAUGAUUUGAUAUGAAUUGCAUAGUAUAUAAUAAUUUAUCGGGACUAUUCUUCUUCAUGCUAAGAACCAAAAGGAAUGAAUAUGGUCAUCAUCAAUCAAAAAGGGAGGACCGAUGGUGGGACUUGUUAAAAAGGACAAUGCGUGUCAAAAAAGACAGGAAAAUAUGAGCCAUAUAUGAAAGCAUUAGUAGCCUAAUAGUCAUGAUCUUGUACUGAUUAUUUGAUGUCUUAUUUUUGGCCCCAUGUUUUUCUGGGUAUCUCUCUAUCUCUUUUAGGUACAUAACAACGUUUUUACACGACAAUCCCCUCAUAAUCAGGGUUCGAUACAUCUGUACAAGGACAUAUCUCAUUUGGUAACCACACCUAGCUCUGUCCAGGGGAUAACAACGAAUCAAUCGAAGAUUUUCACGUAUGGCCCAAGUAGAGAUGCGAGCAUGUGUCAUUAUGAACGUAACCUUUUCCAUUAUGCAAAAAUCAUGGACACGGUGUAUGGUACCACUCGAAGGAGAUUUGAAAUAUAUAUAGCACAAAAUUUUGCAUUUAAGUUUGAUUUGAUUCGAUCAGCUGCUAGCUCCAGCUUGGCCCCGUGCAUGAAUUUAGGACGUGUGAGAGUGAUGUGAAAUGCACGAAGCCAAAGCUUUUUAACAGAAAAAAAAUUGAACAUAUCCUUAAAAUUUUGCAUACAAUAGCAUCUUGCUUUUAUUUUGAUUUUAUAAGUCUUGGAUUGAGACUUGGGAAAAUGGGUCUUUAUUGUAACAGAAAGGGACGAUCACAAUCGAUGUUGGGGCAAUGGACAAAGUUGUUUCAAUGUACAAUAGUUUUCGCAAAGUACCAUUAGUGUCUUUCAAUCCAUGUGCAUUUCACGUGCUGUUGACUGGUUGCUUAUCAUAUACGAUUACCCUAUUCAAGGGCAAGGGGAAAGAAUCGGAAAUGGCCCCCAACCCCAAGUUCAGAUAAUGAAAAAAUUCACAGACAAAAAGGCAAGGUCGUCUAUGUACUGUGUUAUCAUUCUUUUUUAUCAUGAAAAAAUUGUUAAACAUUUCAUUUAAAAUUAAUUUACAGUAAAUAGAAGGACCUAACUUAAAUAUAAAGUUAUAAAAAAUUAAAAAUUUAUUAGAUAUGAAAUAAUCCACUUAUAAAAAAUUAAAAAUUUAUUAAAUGUAAGAUAACCUACUUUAACAUGUCUCAUUACCUGUAGGUGAAAAUGAAAGAAGUCUUUUACAUGACAAAUUAAGAAAUGAUAACGGAAAAAAAUCUUGAUUUUGAUACCAUGUUAAACAUCCAAUUCACAAUCAAUCACUAACUUAUUAGAAGACAGUUCAACAAUAUCUCAAGUAUGAGUUUUCUCAAGAGCCUGAAGCUCCUCUAUCAUUGUUUGCUGCCACAUAGGAUUAAAGACAGCUUCACGAAAAUUAUGAGGUUUAUGUAAUGUGACUAAAGUAUAAUAAUAGUGAAAACCAUGAAUUUGAGUGUUAGAUUCUCUUAAUCAGGUGGAAUGACGAAAUGAAGGUGGUAUGUAUGGGGAGGGGACAACUGUAUCAAUAGGAGCCUCAAUUAGAUUAGACAUAGUAUGAGUUAAAUAAGACAGAUCAUUAUUUGAAUCAAAAGUACCUAGGAUAGAUCACUAUUUAAGUCAAAAGUACAUAUAAUAGUCUCUUCAUUUGAAAAAUAAUAAAAAAAUGAAUCUAAAAAAAUACAUGGAGAAGAACAUGAUGAAUGUAAUAAGGAUACACUAAUGCACUUUCUAUGUUCUCAAAAAACUACACGUCUUGAGAUGUGAAGAGGUUUAAACACUGGAUCAUAACAUCUAUACCCUUUGUGUUUUAUAAUACAUAACUUGAAUAUUAAAUUAUAAAAUAUUUAUUAGAUGUGAGAUAAUUCACUUUAAUAAGCCUCCAUCAUGUAUAAGGCUUAUACCUUUUAUGUUUUAUACCAUAACCUAAAUAUAAGAUUACAUGAUAUUUAUUAGAUGUGGGAUAACCCACUUUAACAAGCCCUUAUCAUGUGUAAGGGAAAAUGAAAAAAACCUUUUACGUAUCAAAUUAAGAAAGAAUAAUAAAAAUUUUUUUUAACUCUGAUACAAUGUUAAGCAUCCAACUUAAAAUCAAUUGACAAUAAAUGAGGGGCUUAAUCUAAAUAUAAGACUAUAAGAAAUUAGAUAUUUAUUAUACGUGAGAUAACUCAUUUUAACAAAAAUCAUGCUUUUUUUUUAUCUUUCUUUUUUCCCUAACUAAAAAGGAAAACGAAAUCUAUAUCCUCCUUUGAUCUCAUCUCUGACAUUUUCUUCAUUUGAAAAUGAAAACUCGUUCCUUUCAUUUGAAUAUAAAAAUGUAUAGAUGGAUUAAUGAAUCCAUAGAUAAAUAAAUAUGCGCGUAUGUUUUAUGGUAAAAAAUAUUAUACCAUGAUACUCCAGUUCAAUCUGAAAUAGCUAAUAAAAACUCAAUUUUCAUUAUCUGUCACCUUUGCAUGUAAUUUAUUCUAUGUGAAUUCAUUCAAUUUCAAUUAACUCCACACGAUCUAGAUUUUGUGCCUAAGAACUAGAAUAAUUGAAAUUUUGGUUUUAAAUUUUUUCAAGGGCAGGUUACACAAUAAAAUUUAUCUUAUUUCUUCUCAUAACUCUCUAUUUCUUUGAUUAAAAAAAUAGAGAUUUUAUUUGAAUUUUUUUUUUUUUUUUUGCAGAAAUAUGAAAAGGAGUUGCUUAUAGCAAGAGCUAUUGGCUUAUAGCCUUACAGCAAUGGAGUGUCUGCGGAGUCGGUAUUAAUUUAUGCCUAAUUGCACCGCAUACAGUUCCUUUAACUACAUUUUCUAAACGAAUCAGGGCUAAUCUAAGUUGAUCUUGUAAGAGAUUCGCUAUAGAAUGAAUACGCUUAUUGUUCAAAUGAUUCAUAACGUCAAAUAUACCCAUUCCAAAAUAUAUUUCAAUCAAAUGAUUUGCAGCUGCCAUUAUAUCUCGCGGAAACAAAAAUGUAUUGUUUUUCCUGUUUACUUUCUUCAUUCGGGAGAGGCUCGCUUAUCUUCAUUUGUAUUGAAUAAGUUUAGAUAAACAUCCAAUCAAUGUUCCACUGUUUUUAGCUUCCUGCUUCAUUCACCUAACCCUUUUAGCUUUUCAAUAUAGUAUGAUUAGUCCUUUUUGACACACAAUUCGUCGCCAUAUACUUUCUUCUUGAAAUGUAAAAUGUUGUCCGAUUUCGCUCGUCCUUGGAGUUCCAUGGACGGUUUAAAAAGAAAGUGUCAUGGGCACAUUGUGCAGAAAAGCAGAGCUGUUAUUAUGUUUAUUAAAUGUAUACAACGUGAAUGGCAACAAAAAAAAAACUGUAUAUAGAGUGAAUUGUGAUGUGUCUGCAUCAAAUUUAAUGGCCCACUGCAAAGAAAACAUAUUACUACUGGAUGGCACUAGCAAAUUAACUCAACAAAAUUAAUGCAAUCAACUUCAAGCAUGCUGAGCUUUAGAUUUGUCCUCCUUUGUCGAUUGGGUUAAGGUGAGCACUGUCACCAUGGUGGAUAUUCGAUCCAUAUGGGUUUGAAUAUUCCAUUAGUGGUUUAAUACUGUGAUCAAUUUUAUAAGAUGUUUUGGAUUAAAAAGUGAAACCCAAACGAGAUCAAAACCAUAUUUCAGUUAAAUAGUUACAAUUUACACAUUGCUAGCUCUAGCUUAUUGCUAGAUCGCCAUAUAAUAGCAACGCACGUCAAGAUUAAGGCAUUGGGAUUCGUAGAUAGCAAACACCUGCUAUAUUUACAUUUAAGUCCAGCAUAUCUAACAGGUUGGUGAGACUUAGCAAAUCUUAAAUUAUGCGAUUAACGUUUCAACUUUCACACUUAUUUUGGUCUUUUUUAACAGCGCCUGGGGUGCACUUUGACCUUCAGAGGGUUAGCCAUUUCGCAGGAGAGCCUAAGCAUUUCGGUGAGAUCAACCGGAUUAUCAUCUGAUUGCAUCCACUCGAACUCAUGCAACAAGAAGCCGACCCAGAAGCUAACAGUGGCCAAACCCAAAGUCUUUCCAGGGCAAGUCCUACGGCCUGACCCGAAUGGAGCCAACCUGAGGUCAGACCCCAACACAGAGAACUCCACAUCAGCACUGUCCUUGGACACGAAUCUCUCUGGCAUGAACUUGAGUGGGUCUAUCCAAACAUCUGGGUCCCUGGUGAUGGCCCACAUGUUAACCAUGGCUGUGGUCCCAGGAGGCACGUGAUAUCCAUCAAUAGUAGUGUCUGUGAUUGCCAAACGGGCCCAGGAUAGAAGUGGGCCAGGUGGGUGCAGCCUAAGAACCUCCUUCACCACUGCUGGCAGGUAAAACAUCGAUAGAAUGUCUGAUUCCAUCAACGGCCGUGAUUUCCCAACAACUUGAUCAAGCUCGGCCUGCACUUUGGAUUGGAUUUCAGGGUGAAGCACCAUUCUCGCCAAUAUCCAUUCUAUUAAAACUGCCACAGUAUCGGUUCCUCUAAAUAUCAUCUCCUGUGCAAUGAGAAUAGCAUGAUUAAAAACAAGCAGUUAAUUUUCUAAUCAAAGAGAAUAAUGCUUCGUUUGUCGCUAAGAAAUUCUUGAAAAAUCUAAGGAAAUAUAUAGGAUGAAAUAAUAGAAAAGUCGUUAAAUUUUAUCAUUUUAUUUAAAUAAAAUUUUAAAUUUUAAUUUGUAUUCAAAUAAAUUCAUAAUUUUUAAUUUGUAAAUGAAUAAAUCUUUAAUAUAAAUCAAUUUUUAUUUAAAAUAAAAAUUUAGUUAAAUACAAAUAAAAUAUUAAUAAUUUAUUUAGAUACAAUAAAAAUAUAAAAAUUUAUCAAAAUAAAGUAAUUAAAUUCGGAGAUUCACUAAAUAUAUAUUAUCAGAAUCUAAUCAACAAACCGAUCCCAAAUCAUUAUCAGAUUACAUCUUUGAUUCUUUUCCCAUGCAAUUUCACAUGUAGAAAACAUCACGCAAGAGAACAAAAACAUGCAUAUAAUAACAAAUUGGUUUUCUUUAUUAAUUAUUAUCACAUUAAGUUUGUUGCUUACCCAGAGAACGGCAAUCAUCUCGUUGUCCGAAAGUCUAUCGGGUCCAUUGAGAGAAAGUAAAACGUCCACAAAAUCAUGGUUUCUUCUUCCCGUUUGGAGUUUAUGUUCUUGAAUGAUUCUGUUCACAAAUUUGUUCACUUUGGGAACAAGUUCUGAACAUCGAAGCCGGAUUCUUUGAAGGUCUAAACGAGCAAGCCAUGGAAGAUGAUCAGACCAAUUGAGCUUCCCUAGUAGGUCGUAACCUUCUUCAACGAGCUGGCUGAGUUUUUGAGUUUCACUAUUUGAUGAGCCCAGUUGAUAUUUACUACCGAACACUGAGCACAUCAUGUUGUUGAGGGAAGCUUUCUUGAUUAUAUCGCGUACAGAGAACUCUCCACCACGACAUGCCAUUAUAGAAACCAUUUGGGAGGCGAUACCGAACCUCUGUGCCUCGGUGGAGCUGAUUUGUUUAGGAGAAAAGAGAUGUGUUGCGGCAAUUCUUCUUAGAGUUCGCCAGUAAACCCCGUAAGGAGCGAAGCCAAUCGCUCUGUUGAACAUUAAACUAUAUGCUGACUCUUUCACUGGACGAUCAGCAAAAACGGAACUGUUAAGAAUCUCUUUGGCUACAUCAGGGUUGCAUGUAAUGAUAACCCGAGUAUCACCCAAGCUAAAGGCCAUGAGCCGCUUAGCCCCAAAAGACUUGGCAGCAGCAGAAAGCUUGCGGUGAGCCAGGUUAACCAUGAGGUUCAUGCUUCCAACAACAGGGAACCCUCUUGGCCCUGGAAUGAUAUUGUUAUUGAGUUUUGUGGCUGACCUUUUCCGCAGCCAAAAAUGCUUACCCCAGGCAGGGCCUCCAGGGUAGAACCAGAAGCACAGAGACAUGGCCAGCCAAGCCAUGCAAAGGAAAAGAAGAAGCAAAAUGAAGUUUUGCGAGGAGAAAGUUUUGCAUUUGGAAGCAACAAACAAAACCCAGAAGCAAUCAGAGAAUGUUUCCAUGGAGAAAGGAAUUAUAAAAUGGGUAUUGAUGGAUGGAUGUUUGUUUGAGUGGGUUUAGUUUUCCUUUUUGGGUUAAACUAUGAGAUGGGAGGUUUGUUUAUAUAGAGAUUUUUGUGGACUGUAGAAGUAAAGGUUAAACAGCCUAGGGCUUUAAUGAGUUAUAACGGAAAUAAACAAAAAUCAAAAGUUUAAAAUUGAAAUAUCAAUUUGCGCCGCCACCAGCACUAAUAACCGAAAAUGAGAUUUGAGAGCCCAUGCCCCAUACUCAUUUCAGCUAGCAUUUUUUUUUUUUGGAAAAAAAUCAACAAAAUAUGUGGAAUUAGCUGUCAUCUUUUUCCAUAGCUAUAGCUAUCAAAUUAAUAUCAACAAAGCCUACUAUUAGUAUAUUACUAUAUUCUACAUCAGCAGCCCAUCAAUUGGCUUUUUGAUUUGCAUCACUAUCAGAAUUUAGGCAUCUUGGCUCUAGUGGUCUGAGCUACUCUACCUCCAGGCAAUAUCACUUGAUUUUAUACCCUAAUUUUAAACUGCACUAUGUACGAAAGUAUACUUAUAUAUAAAUAAGUAUAUAUAAUAUAAAUUUUCUUAAAAUUAUAAUAUUUAUUAACAACUCAAAAAAUAUAUAUAUAUUUAAAGUUAUAUAAUGUCAAACAUAAUAAAAUCUAAUAUAAUAUUUGCUUUGAACAUAAUACUUUAACAUAUAGAAUGAAAUUAAAAUUAAAAUAUCAAAAUAGACAUUUAAUAUCUUUUACUUAAAUCGUACAAAAAAAACAAUUAAUAUAUAUGGAGGGGUAGGCUUUAAAAUUAAAAGUUAUAUCAAAGUAUAGGAAAAAUAAAGAAAUGAUUAAGUUCCGGAAUAAUUUUGUUGUUUAAGAUUUAUUUUUAAAUGAAAAUUUUGAGAGAAUCAAUCCCAACUUAUAUGCUAGAAACAAAGUGGAUAAUUCUUCUAGUAAAGCAUGACUAAGUAUUUUUUUUUUUUUAGUUAAACCCCUAUUAGAUAAUGCUAGUUUGAAGUCGUACCAUGUACAAGUAUAUAAUUAUAUUAAAAAAUUAAUUAUAAUAUAAGUAAUAAACUUUAUAUAAGAGUAAUUGUUUUUUAAAGUUCACAUGCAUAUAAACAUUUUUUAUUUCAAAUGAAAUAAGAAAUAUUUAUCACAAUUAUGUUUACUUAAAAUACAUAAACUAUUUAAAAUAUAUAAGUUCAUUCGAAAUGUUGCACAAAAAAAAAUAACUUUUCAAUGUUUUACAAAUUUUCAAAUAUAGAAUGAAUAAUAGUAUUAGAAAAAAAAGUUAAUAAAUUGGAGAAUGGUAGAAAGCUACAGUCAAUGCGUAUAAGAUAAUAAAACGAAUUAUAUAACAAUUCAAUGUAUUUAAACUUAUUCACGUCAUACUUGUGUAAAAAAAUAAAAAAAAUUUUAUAUGAAAUUAAAUAAACAAUUACAAUAGCAAAAAAAUAAUUAAUAAUAUGAACGCCUUUUAAUAUAAAAUAGGCAAAAGGGUAAAAAAAAAUUCCCUAAACUAAAAUUCAAGCCCUUAUUUUUUUCAAUUAAUUAAACCCUCAAACAUUUAUUUUUAUUAAUUGAGUAAUUGUCAGAGGAAAAAUAGUUAAUUAUUUUCAUCCAAUCAAGGGUUUAAUUGAGUAAAAAUAGAUAUAUAAAGAUUCAAUUGGAUAAAAAUAAAUAUUUAAGAAUUUAAUUGAUUUGAAAUAAAAAAAUGUAAGACUUAAUUGAUUGUAAUAAAAUAUCAAUGACUUAAUUGAUUAUUAAAUUUUUGUUUUGAGAACUUUUUUAAUCUCAUGCAUAUAAAAUAUUGUUUCCUUUGAUAUAAAAAACUAAAACAAUAAGUUUGCUUGGUUGAAGAUUGAAGGUGUUCCUAUUCAUGGUUGGUGCUAUGACUUAUUAAAAAGAAUUAGGAACUUAUGGGGAAAUUUCAUAUCAUUGGAUGACAGCACGUUGCAUAAAAGGAGGCUGGAUACUGCCAAAGUUUUAGCCUAAUCGAGAAAGAUUGUCCUCCCCGGAUCAAAGUUGAGGUAAUUAUUAAAGGGUACCCUAAAUCAGAGUUACCAUUGAGGAAGGUCCGGACUUCCUUUGGAAUUUCGGUGUUAAAAUGCUGUUGACAGGUAAUCUUCAACAAUCUCCUUCAAGUUCAAAGUUCAAUAAAUAAAUCUUUCUCAUACAAAGGUGUAAAUAUCUAUAUGUGUUUGGGAUCAAUUGUUAUUUAUUAUUAUUAUUAAUUUUGAUUUUGAAACGUUAAAAAUUAAAAAAUAUGAGAUUCUAACUCUCGAUUGAGGAUAACUUUUUGAGUAUGAGAUUUUAAUUUUCGAUUAAGAAAAAUUUUCAUGACAAAAGCAAAAAGUUUUGGGUUAAGAAAAAUAUUUAAAAUGAGAUUUGUAAAAGUAUUUAGCUUUAAUUAGAGAGUAAAACCUUUUUCAAGAUGAGAUGUUUUUAGUUCAAAAAAAUGAUUUUUAAAGUUUCAAAACUUUUAUUAAGGAAAAGUUUUUCCAAAGAAAAGAAAUGAUUUGUAAGAAAAGAAAAACAAAAGUUCAAAAAAAAAAUAAGACCUUUUGAUGAGAUUUUAAGCCUCGUAUGAAGAAAACUUUGCAAAGAUAAAGUUUGAAAUAUUUGGAUGAUUUCAAAAAGAGUUGGUAAAUCUUGGCUAAGGAGCUUUUUCAGUUUUAAAGUUUUAUAACCUCUAUUUAGAGAUUUUUUUUUUUUUUAACCAUAAGAUGAAAAUCUUUGAUGCGAAUUCUCGAGACAUUGAAUUUUAGAUUUGAACUUUUUAAAUAAAAAUAUUUGAAUUUUGGAUAUGAAUCUUUAAUAUUUUCAAAUGUGAAUAUUUGAAUCCUUAAUGCGAAUCUCGAAAAAGUAUGCAAAACUUGAGAAUCUUUCGGUGAGAAUCUCAAAUUUUCAAUUUGAAUAUUUGAAUGAACCUCUAAUCUCCUUCAGAUAAGAAUUUUUUUUAUAUUUUUAAAAUUGUUGAGCUUUUUGUUUAAAGAAGUAUUUAAGUGUUGGGAUUUAUAAGAUCUUUGAGCAUAAUCCCUAAGUCCUCUGGAAAAGAUUAGUAAGUCUUUUGAGCUGAAUUUGUUUUCAUGUUGAAAUUAGUAAGACCCACAGCCAUAAUCUCAAGUCUUUUAGGCAAGAUUCGUAAGUCUUUCGAGCUGAAUUUGUUAAGCAAAAGUGAUAAUAUAUUUAUAUUUUUUAGAAGUUGUUAAGCCUCUGUUGAAAUAAAUUUUUUAUAUUUUUCAAAAAUGAUUGAACCUCUGUUGAUAAGAUCUUUUUAUAUUUUAAAAAGCUAUUGAGCUUUUGUUUAGGAGAACUUUUUAUGUUGUUCAAAAAGUCUGAGUUUCUAUUUAAAAGAGUUUUUUUUAAAAAAUAUCAAGUUGGUUAUUCAGAUGUAAUGGAUAUCUAUGUCUUUGCACAAUUCAUAUUUCACAGAAAAUAUGUAAAAAGAGACAGCUGUAAAUACUAUAUUUAGUUUAUGAUAUUUUUUUAUUUAAUUUUAGGAUUUUAGUAUUUUGUUUAAUUUAGGAUUAUUUAUUUUGUUAAUUAAUUGAUUUAUAGUUUAAAAAAAAAAAGAAAAAAAGAAAAAAAAGAAAGAGAUUGAUUUGGUUUGAAGUCUACUGUUCUAAUUGAAAAAAAUGUAUUGGGUUAAAAGGUGGACUUAGAUUAAAAAUCUAAAAUUAACUUUGAUUAAGAGAUUGAAACUAAAAAAAUCUUUUCCUCUUGUGAUUUGGAUUAAAGGCAUAUAAAAGGAUCUCAUGAGGAUGAAUCAAGAAUCAAUCAAAAAAAUCAAAAAAGAAAGAGUAAAAAUAAAGCAGAAAAAUUAAGAGUUUUUUUUUUUUUUAGUUUUUGUUAGUGUUUUAGGUUUAGAUAAUUAAAAUUUUCUUUUCAGAGUUUUACGUUGGGGAAAGAAGUUAAGAAAAAACACAAUUAUAAAGGCUUACGUGCUUUGGAAUAAAUUAUGACUCAAUUUUUACUAUUUAUAUUUUACUUGUCUUUUUUUUAAAUUCUAGUUAUCUUUUGUGUUUUAUCAUAAUUGUCUAUUUAUUUGUUUGUUUGUUUUAUUUAGUUUGACUAUUUAUGUAUAAUUUUUAGGAAAAAUUAGAAAGUAUUUACAAAAAAAUAAAACAAAAUAAAAAAUUAAUAAAAUUUUUGAGAAUUAAUAAUAAUUAUCCAAGAAUGAAAUUUUUAGAAAUUUCAAAUGAUAAAUUUUUUAAGAAAUUUCUAGGUGAAAUUUUUUUAAAAAUUUAUCCUAAAUGGAGAAAAAUUUAGAUAAAGUUUUAAUAAUAAUAAUAAAUAUUUAUUUUUAAUUUUUAAAAAAUAUAAAAAUAUGUAUAUAGGCAAAUUUAAUGAAUUUUGAGAAUAAAUACUAAUUAUUCAAUGAUGAGAUUCUUAGAAAUUUUAAAUAGUAAAUUUUUUAAGAAAUCUCUAGGUGAGAAAUUUCUCUAAAUUUGUCUCAAAUGGUAGAAUAAUUUAGAUUAAAUUUCAAUAAAAAAUUGUAUUCUUUUUUCAAAUAAAAAUUAAGAAUAAGACAAAAAAAUUGGGAGAAAAUAUUUGACAAUCAUCCAAGGAUAAAAUCUUAAGAAAAAUCACAAAUGGUUGAAUUUUCAUAAGAUUUCUAGCUAAAAAGGUUUUUUUCUAAAUUCAACCUAAAUAGUGGAAGAAUUUAAAUGAGACUUUAAAAAAAAUUGUCAUAUUUUUUUCUUCCAAAGAUUAUGAAACUUGUAGGAGAUUUUUUUAAAUAAACCCAAACGGUGAAAAAUUUAGAAAUAAAACUUGUAAAAUAAAAAAUAAAAUUUCGAUGAUGAAAUUCUUAAUAAUCGCAAAAUGAUGAUUAUCUAAAAUAUUUUUAUGUAAGAAAAUAUUUCUUAUUUAAGUCCAAGUGUGAGAAAAUUAGAUAUAUUUACAACAAAACAAAGUUAAGUUUUUUCGGUGACGAAGUCUCUUUAAGAAAAUAAAUGAGAUUUUUAAAUACUCUUAAGGUAAGAAAAUAUUUUUUAAAAAAUUCUGCUAGAUUGAUAGAAAAUCUUAGCAAUUAUUUCUAAUAUUUAAAUGUUAAAAUAAAUAUUAGUAGAACAUAAAUCCUUAGGAUAACUUAAAUUAAAAUGGUAUCAUUUUUUAGGAUGGGUAUUGUAAAGGUGCUAUAACCUUCCCUAUAUGUAAUCAAACUCUCAAACCCUAUUGUGAUUAGUAGACCAAAAUAUUUGUUUAGAGAUCUUUAGUCAAGUUUAGGACAUUUUAAAAGGGUAGAUUCAUCUAAGUGGCCAAUCACACAUUAGUAAAAGAUUAGUGACAACUUCUUAGAUUGCGUCUAGUUAUAGAUUUUCAUAUCUAUAAGUUAUGCUAGUUUAACAACUCCACUGGUCAAAAUUCUUCCAAAAAGAAUUUAAUAGACUCAAAAGAGGUAACAAAUGGACUUAAUCAGUGAAAUUUUUUUUUACAAAAAAAAAGACAUAUAGAAAGAUUGAAAUAAUAAAAAAGGUAUAGAAACAGACCAUCAGGGUUAACUAGGGGAGGCUUACAUAUGAUGUUACUUUGGAAUAUUUUAUGUGACGUGCAAGAAAGAGUAAGGACAUUGUGUUUCCUAGAGACUGAAGAAUUGACCAUUCUCCAAAGCCAACUCCCCAAGAUCCUUUGCUAAAGGUAGAAAUUGCAAAAGAAAAUUCUAAACUACGAGAGGUUAGCUUGAAUAAAAACAUAAGCGAUUGAAGGACAAAAUGAGAGAAAGUUUGAAGCUGUAAGAACUGAAAAUCUAGAGCAUCAGUAAGUAAAAAAAAUAAUGGAAGGCUUUAUUCAAUAAUUUAGAUAAGACACACUCAUCGGUUACACUCGAGCUUGCUUGACUUUUAAAAAAAAUAAAUUAUUGAAAGUAAGGGUAAAAAACUGACAAAAGGCCACUGCUAGGGCACACAAACAUAACCAGAUGGUAGAAAAGAUAGUGAAAUAGUGCAUAGUACUGGUAGGAGCUUUGACUAAUGAAUGCAAGAAACAUGUUAAACAAAGUGAGUAAUGGAAAGGCAUAUGCACGAAAAAAUAAAAACAUCUAAGGCAUCUCUUUGAUCAACUAUGCAUGGUUGCAGACAAAGCAACAAAUAUGGAGAAAAUGUGGAAGAAUUGAUGGCAAUAGUGCAACCAGUAAGAGAUCAUGGGUGGCGAUUGUUUGACUUCCUAGAUGAUGCACAAGAUCAUUACCAGCAAGCUAGAAAGUUCAUAAAAAGGCAUUAGAAUAAUGUUUAGGAGAUAUUAGAAUUGAUGUUUAGGAUGUUAGAAUACUGUUUUGGCUUUGUUAGGAUGUAGUUUUGAAAUUUUAUUUAAUAAAGUUUCGAAUUAAGAUUUCUUUUAUCAAUAAAGCUGAGACACCCCAUUUAGUCAGGGUUUUUUUUAUUUAAUUUUAAGAUUUUACCAUUUUUUUUAGUUUAGGAUUAUUAUUUUGUUAAUUGAUUGAUUUAUGAUUUUUUUUAAAAAAAGAAGAAGAAGAAAAGAAAGAGUUUGAUUCGGUUUGGUGUUUAGUGUUUUAAUUGAAAAAAUGUAUUAGGUUAAGAGGUGGACUUAAUUUAAAAUCUAAAAUUGACUUUGAUUAGGAGAUUGAAACCAAGAAAACCUUUUCAUAUUGUCAUUUGAAUUAAAGGCCUAUAAAAAGACCCUAUGAGGAUUAAUCAAGAAUUAAUCAAAAAAAUCAAGAAAAAAAGAGUAAAAAUAAAGCAAAAAAAUUGAGAUUAUUCUUUAGAGUUUUCUAGUGUUUUGAGUUUAGAUAAUUAAAAUUUUCUUUUAGGAGUUCAUUGUUGGGGAAAAGAGUUGAGAAAAAACACAAUUACAAAGACCUGCGUGCUUUGGAAUCAAUUGUGACUUAAUCUUUGGUAGUUACUUUUUACUUGUCUUUUUCUUAAGUUCUAGCUAUCUUUGUAUUUUAUCAUAAUUGUCUAUUUAUUUAUUUAUUUAUUUGACUAUUUAUUUAUAAUUUUUAGGAAAAAUUAGAAAGUAUUUACAAAAAAAAUAAAACAAAAUAAAACAUUAAUAAAUUUUUUGAGAAUAAAUAAUAAUUAUAUAAGGAUGAGACUUUUAGAAAUUUUAAAUGGCAAAUUUUCUAAGAAAUUUUUAAGAGAAAUUUUUCUAAAUAAAUUUUUCUAAAUUUUUCCCAAACGGAAGAAAAUUUAGAUAAAGUUUUAAUAAUAAUAGUAAUUAAUAUUUAUUUUUAAUUUUUUUAAAAAAUAUAAAAAUAUGUAUAUAGGCAAAGUUAAUGAAUUUUGGGAAUAAAUACUAAUUAUCCAAUGAUGAGAUUAUUAAAAAUUUCAAAUAGUAAAUUUUUUAAGAAAUCUCUAGGUAAAAAAUUUAUCUAAAUUUAUCCCAAAUGGUAGAAUAAUUUAGAUUAAAUUCCAAGAAAAAUAAUUGUAUACUUUUCCCAAAUAAAAAUUAAGAACUAAAAAAUUUGGGUAAAAAUAUUUAACAAUUAUCUAAGGAUAAAAUCUUAAGAAAAAUCACAAAUGGUUGAAUUUUCAUAAGAUUUUUAGGUAAAAACUUUUUUUCUAAAUUCAACCCAAAUGGUGAAAGAAUUUAAAUGAGACUUGCAAAAAUAAUUGUCAUAUUAUUUUCUUUUCAAAGAUUAUGAAACUUGUAGGAAAUUUUUCUAAAUAGACCCAGAUGGUGAAAAAUUUAAAAAUAAAACUUGUAAAAUGAAAAAUAAAAUUUUGAUGAUGAAAUUCUUAAUAAUUACAAAUGAAUGAUUAUCUAAGAUAUUUCUAUGUAAGAAAAAGUUUCUAAUUUAGGCCCAAAUGAUUGAAAAGUUAGAUAUAUUUGCAACAAAACAAAAACAAAUGAUUAAGUUUUUCCAAUAACGAAACUUCUUCAAGAAAAUAAAUGGGAUUCUUAAAUACUCAUGAGGUAAUGAAGUAUUUUUUUAAAGAAUUUUACUAGAUUGAUGGAGAAAUCUUAGCAAUUAUUUUUAAUAUUUAAACAUUAAAAUAAAGACCAUUAGAACAUAAAUCCUUAAGAUAAUUUAAAAUAAAAUGGUAUCAUCUUUUAGAAUGGGCAUUGUAGGGGUAUUAUAACCUUCCAUACAUAUAAUCAAACUAGUAAACCCUAUUUUGAUUAGUAAACCAGAACUUACUUUUUUAGGAAUUCUUAGUCAAUCUUAGAAUAUUUUUAAGAGGGUAAAUUCACCUAGGUAGCUAAUCGUACCUUAAUAAAAGAUUGGUGGUGACUACUUAAAUUAUGUCUAGCUAUAAAUUUUUGGAUUUAUACGUUAUGACAAUUUGAUGACUUCAUUGGAAACCUAUAGAGAGUCAAGCCAUAACAUUUUAAAUUUAUUAUAUUCUUUGAUUUAAUGGUCUUAAAAUGUAAAGAUUAUGUUAUUUGUUUACAAACAUUUUUUUGUCUUUUAUUUGAUUAAUGGGGGUUUGAAACCUAUGUGUUCCUUCACACAGACUAUUACAUACAUUUGCAUUACAUAAGCUUUAUUCUUGGGCUCCGUCCCUUUUAAGAGGGAGUAAAGUACCUACGCUUUCGUGAGAUGAUAAUCUUAGCAAUGACUAGUGAAAUACAACUACUCAAAUUGAAUCUUUUUCAUUGGUAGCCUUUGAUGGCUAAAGAUUAGAAUGCCUUACUAGUUUGUGAUAGACAAUGAUGUAAGGAACAAUUUAGGAACCUUUAGUGGUCAAAAUCACCUAGUCCUGCAUAUAAUCAAUACUUAAGAAGCCAACCUUAGGUUAGAGCUAUAUCUACCCAUUAUUAAAAUGUAACCCUACAUAGGACAUAUGAGUGGACUCUUUGAAUUUCAUUUGUAUCAAUUUUAUAUGAAAUUUUAUUUGAUCUCUUAUUUAUUGUUAAGUUGUUGUAUGUCAUAUUUUAAUACAACAUUAUUAACAUAAGCAUUCAUCUAUGCAUUAUAAUAUAACAAACAUUAGCAUAUGCAUUCAUUUAUCGAUUCAUACAUUAUUGUACAUACAUUUAUGUGUUUAUGUUUUAUAAUUUGUUAUAUCAAACAUUCAAUGCAUUUAUUCAUGAUGCUGAAAAUUUAUGUUUGAGAUGUAAGAGAGUAACUACAAUUUAAUAAUAGUAGAAUAUGAUUACUGGAUUAAAAUGGAUAAAGGUUUACCACUAAAACUAGACAUUAAGGGAUAUAAAAACAUCACACUAAGCAAUUUAAUCAAGGACACAGAACAAUAGAAGUUCACCACUUUAAGAAAUCUACCUAAGAGAUACAGAACUUAAAAAAUAAUCUAAAAGAUUGCUUAAGGAUAAAAAAAACUUUAUUAUGCUUUCUAUCAAAGAAUAAUAGAAAAUAUAUAAGCUAGAAAAAUCUUUCCAAGUAUGAGAACUUUCAAAUUGCAUUGCUAGAAUCAUGCCUAAAAUCAUGAGAUUUGUAUGUGAAUAUAAUCUGUCCAUUUACUUUUACAAAUUACAUGAUAAUGAAUAUGACCACAAUCCCAUCUAUAUUCAUGCUUUUCUUUUUCAGCUAAUGUAAACAUAAUUUUUCUAUUCUAGCUCACCUUAUUUAUGCAUUUAUUUAGUGAGUUUGGACCAAAGAUAGACCCAUCUUAUUUUUGGACAAGUUCUUCUUAAUCUCAACUUAAGUUAUAAGAUGUAUUGACACUCUAGUGUUAAUUUUCUCUAGUUAAAACAAACUUAUCCUCAAGUCUGAACUAGUAUUCUCGCCAUGAUAUGGUGACAAAUCAGCAACAUUAAAAGUAAAAGAUAAUUUAUAAGUGUUGGUAAGCUUUAUCUUAUAGGCAUUCUCUUUAAUGCGUUAGAGAACUCUAAAUGGACUAUCUGCCUUAGGUUAUAAUUUGUCAAACUUUCUUAGAGAAAAUCUCUUUUUCUGUAAGUUAAUCCACACCAAAUUACUUUCUUUGAACUUCAUAUGUCUUCGAUGCAUGAUUAUUACCCUUUUAUAUUUUUUAUUUUUUACAAAAUUUUAUUCUGAACCUAUUCAUGAAAAAUUUUGAUACUCUUGGCUCUUUCUCUACAUCUUCAUCAAAAUACUGGUUAGUAUAAAGUUGAAUUAAAACUAAAUGAUAAAUUACAUUCUUACCAAGAAUAAUUUCAAAAAGGCUAAUCAAUGGUUUGACUUGAUGAAUGGUUGUAGGCAAACUCCACUUGUCGUAAAAUAAGUUCUCAUUGUUUUAGUUUCUUUCCCACAUAACUCUUCAAGAAAAUUUCUACCUUGUUGGGUAAAACAACUUAUGGGAUAAGGUUUAUGUAGUGUUAAAUGUCCUUUAUUGGUGGUAAACCAACUGAUAACUUUUCUUGAACAACAUCUUAAAAUUCUAUCAAUAAUGGUUGUAUUACUACAGAGGGCUCUUCACUAUCUUUAUUCUCCUUAGUCAACACCGGUGCAUACAUAAUACAGCCCAUCUUAAUUUUUUUUCUAUAACUGUCCUUGGUAAACAAGUUACUUUUUUUUUUUGGUUGGUUUUGACAUCAUCAUGGGUUUGGUAGGGCCUAGGAUGAUUUUGUAUCCAUUUUUUAUAAAUGUGUAAGUGUUACGUUAACCAUCAUAAAUAACCUUUUUAAUCAUAAUACCAAGGUCUUUCGAGCAGUAAAUGGCAAGCAUCCAUUGGAGUUACAACACACCACACUUCACCCUUGUAUUGUUUCCUAUAAAAAAAAAGAACCAAACACCUUUUAGUAAUCUUAAUUUUUUUUUUUUUGCAGCCAAGAUAAUUUAUAUGGUUGGAGGUGAUCCACUACUUUGAAGCGUAAUUUCUGAACCAUAAAAUAGAAAUAAUAUUUUUAAAACUUUCACUAUCAAUUAUAACAUCACAUACCUUCUCAUGGGCAGUAUACCAAGUAUGAAACACAUUUUUUCGUAACCAAUCUUCUUCCUUAGCAGGUGUGGUACUCAAACUACAUUAUAUGACUAAGGAUGCUCCAUAAUCAUCAUAGGUUACCUCUUUCUUCCCUUCAAGGUUUUGAUUCUUUUCAGCUAGCUUUUCUUUAUUUUUUUUAAAUUUUUCUUCUACUAAAGCUACAAUCUUCCUAUUUGGGCAUUCUGAGACAAUAUGUCUAGGCUUUUGACAUUUAAAACACCUUUUGGUUUAUUCACUAGACUGAGUCUUCUUUUAUUGUCUCUUUACCUUAACAGUAAGCUUGCAUACAUUAUUGAAAGUCUAAUAGGGUUAUAGUUGCACCACAUUAGCUAUUUCAAUUUUCAAUCUUCCAAGAUAACAGAUAAUAGUCUACUUCUUCUAUUCCACCAAUUUGUAUUUUAAAAUGCUUGCCCUAUCCAAAGACCUAUGAAAGAUUGAUCCUGUUGCUUUCGUUUCUAUUAAAGAGGGCACGAUGAAACUUCAACUCAAUCUCUUGAAAAGAGAAGAGGACAGGUUUGAAGUGGGACUAGAUCCCUAAGCCCAAGGAACUAGUAUUCUGGAAUGAAACUACGGAGUCCCUCUUCUUUCAAUUUUUGCUCCUUGGAUUGGAUAGGUAUCGUUAUUACUUACCUUUUCGUCACAGUUAAAUGAUAGUCGGAGUCAAGAAAGUAAUCCAGUGAGAGAGAAGAAGAUGAAUGUGCCAUUUUCUAGGGAUGGGAAAUUCUAUGGAUGGAAAAUUUGAUAAUCAUAGGAUAUCAAAAGUAAAUAGCAAUAUCCCUUCGUCAUAAGUACUCUAUGAAGUGGUCAAACUCAAUUGUAUACUCUUUUACUUAGAGAUUUCUUUACUACAAGUUAUGGAGCCUAAAGAAGACAUCUUGCUAAAAGUUAUUUGAGAGAUACUUUUUUUUCAACUAUCUUUUCAUCUUUUCUUAAGUUGUAAUUUUUCUCCUGCCUUAUCUUUUUCUUUUUUUUUUUUUAGAUUUUUCCAUCAAAAGGAUAUAUGCUUUUUGAGUGUAAUGGCCAUUAGCUUUACCUUGCGAUGUUCAGGGGCAUCAUAGUAUUCAAAUAUGUGUUUCACUGUGUGUAGCCAAUUUAAGAAGAUACAUACUUUUUGAGUUUGAUGGCCACUAACUUCACUUUAUGAUGUUCAGGGGUAUCAUGGUAUUCAAAUAUGCGUUUCACUGUGUGUAGCCAAUCAAAAAAUUUUUCAGGUUGCAUAUUUUCCUCGAACUCAAGAAUCUCUAUAUUCAUAUUGAAUAUGCUAGGUUGAAGUUAGUUUCUGCAUAGAUAAUCUUUGACUUACCAUGGGUGAAAUACGAUGUUAUCAUCAAAAUUAUUAUUGUUUUCAUGGUAUGGAUUAAUUUUUUUUCACCUUUUUCAUUCCUCUUUUAUUGUCUCCUUAUCUCCUCUUUUUUUUUGUAUAUGUAACUGAUGUUGUAGUUAAAUGAUCUGUUAUUACAUCUUCUCUAUGAGGGUAUCCAUUGAGUCAACAUUGGUAGUUGUUACAAUGUCAAUAUUGGCUUUAACAUCUUCUGUUGGUGCUUGACGAUGAUGACCUAUCAUAGCUCUUAUACCAAUUUGAUACUAAAAAUUGAUAUUUAAAAUGUAAAGAUUAACUGUAAAUAAAAAAUUCACAAAAAAGAUAACUCAAAAAAAUUGAAUAAUGGUAAAAAUGAUUAUUGGAUUAAAAAAGAUAAAAGUUUACCACUAAGAGUAAAUACAGAAACAUCACCCUAAGAAUUCUAAUCGAAGAUAUAGAACAAUAAAAGUUUAUCACUCUAAAAAAUCUACCUAAGAGAUACAGAACUUGAAGAAUAAUUUAAAAGAUUAUUUAAAGAUAAAAAAACUCUAUUAUGCCUUUUACCAAAGAAUAAUAGAAAAUAUAUAGGCUAAGAACAUCCCUCAAAGCAUAGAAACUUUCAUAUUGCAUUGCUAGAAUCGUGCCUAAAUUCAUGAUAUUUAUAUGUGAAUAUAAUUUGUCCAUUUACUUUUAUAGAUUACACGAUAAUAAAUCUAACCAUAAUCCUAUCCAUAUUCAUGCUCUUUUUUUCUAGCUAGUGUGAAUAUAAUCUUCUUAUUUCACCCCACCUUAUUUAUGCAUUUAUUUAGUGAAUUUAGACCAAAGAUAGGCCCAUCUUAUUUUUGGAUAAGUUUUUUUUAGUCUCAGCCCAAGUUAUAAGAUGUCUUGACAUUUCGAUUUCAAUUCAUUCAUGCAUAUAAGAUUCUUAAACAAGUUAGGUUAAUCUUGAAAAACUUUAGCAUAAAUAUUUAGUGAUAUGUGUAUGCUAACUAUGGUAUAAAAGGUUCAAAGAUAGUUCCACCAUAUAAAACCUCUUAUUUUUCACUAAUACAACACCAGAACAUGAGCUAUACUGAUGAAACAAGAAAACUCAAAUCAUUUUGACAAUAUUGAAAAGGCUCAAGAAGAACUCAAGGGAGAGUCGGAUAAAAUUUUGAAAGCUUUGAAUAAGUUGAAUAAAGGAAAGAAGGUGGAAGAAGUUUUAAGUCAACCUGAGCAUCUUGUGUAGAAUGUAAUUAAUUCUCUAUACCAUUUAAGAUUUAGCCUUGAUCAAGGCCAACCUUCUCAAAGCUCAUAAGUAAAUUUCCUUAGAGCCUAUCCAUACGCUAACCUAAGAAUGUAAAUUACUAUUACCCAAGGUCAGUUUCAAAGUUAUGUUAAUCCAAUCUUUAGAAAGAAAGCCUUAGAACUAAUCUAGGUCCUUAAUCUAGAUUAUCCAAAAGAAAAGAGAAGUUAAAGUUAAAAGUGAUCGAGUCAGUAAAAGACUCGAAGGCUAACCAAAAAAUGAAUAGGCUUGAGAAAAGGUUAUGAGCAACGAAAAAAAUUGAUUUCUAUGGUUCACUAGAUGCUGCUGGGCUUUGUUUAGUCCUAGAUGUUGUUAUUCCUUUAAAAUUUCAAGUUUAAGAGUUCGAUAAAUAUGAUGGUACAAAGUGUCUGAUAACUCAUGUUACCAUGUAUUACCAAAAAAUGACUGCUUAUACUAGUGAUGAAAAGUUCUUGAUACAUGUAUUCCAAAACAGCUUUACUGGUUUUACGAUGAGAUAGUAUGUUCAGUUGGAUUAGUCUCAUAUUCACUCAUAGCAGGAGCUAACCCGUGACUUUAUUAGUCAAUAUCAACACAUAAUAUAUUUAGCUAUUGAUUGUCUUUUUUUGUAAAACAUGAGAAAGAAAGACACUAAAAUUUUUAAAGAAUCUGUCUAAAGAUUGAGGGAUACUGUUGCCCAAGUUCAACCACUGUUUACUGACAAAGAGACCAUGAUUCUAUUUGUUAGUACUCUCAAAGCCCCAUAUUAUGAAAGGAUGAUUGAAAAUGCCACUAAGAAUUUACUGAUAUGAUGAUUUUUUAAGAGAUAAUAGAAAAUACAAUCAAGAAUGGCAAACUUAAAAGAAGUGGUACAAAUGAUGCAUAGAGAGAUGAUGUGCCAAAGAAGAAUGAAUGAUAUGUUCAAGUUAUGAUUUAUGAUGGGCAACAAGCUAGAGGCUUCACCCCAUGUCAACCUUAUUCAAUGUACCCACCUUAUUACCCUUUUAUAAAUAACUGCUUUUAAAAUCCUUAUCUUUGCCAACUUAUGCAACAAUUAGGUUUUCAUGCAAAUCCUUGUCCUCAAACAAUUGUUACCCAAUUUGGAAGCAAGUGAAAAAGAUUAAGGAAUAAUCAAGAGGGAAUUUCAAUCCAAAUUUCUAACCUCUUGUCUUUACUAAUAAAACACCAAUUCCUUACCUUUGUACUUUUAAAAACAACCCUAAAUUCAUUAACAAGAAGCUAUGAUCCAAAUAGUAGAUGUGAUUAUCACAUGUGGGUAAUUGGACACUCAACUAAAUUACGCAGGCAAUUGAAAGAGAAAAUCAAAGAACUUAUCAAUAAUGGCACUUUGACCACAGAGCUUAUAGAGCAAUGAAAAUCUAUUUUACAAUAGUUUUUCUUUUGAAUAUGAAGCACCAAAAAAUUUAUGUGAAGAUUUUAAAAUUUUGAGUUUGUUGUCUAUGUUUUGCUUUGACAUGUACAUAAGUUCUUGCUUUCAAUUUUGGUUGUAUAUGAAUUCUUGCAUUACAUGUGAAAAUAAUCUUGAGAGAAUUGAUAAUUAUUGUCAAGAAUGAACAUACCCAAUUGUUUCAUUUACCAUAUUAUACUCCAAUUCAAUUGAACACCAUACGAUUUUAAAGCCUAACUUCUCAAGUUUCACAAAUUUUAUUUUCACUUGAUCCAAAGGGAUUUCAAUAUUAAUAAUCUUUAUUAAGGUUAUGAACAAUGAAAUUUACAAAAUCUUUGUAAGUUAAUAUAUAAGGUACUCUUUUAAAGAUUUUGGAUUUAGGUAAUUUGAUAAAUGUUAAUACUAUUCUAAACACAUUACUACCCAUGUUUCUUCACAAAUCUUAACCUCUUUAAUUUUUUUCUUAAAGCAUAAUUAUUGAUAGGCUAUAUCCAUUUAAUAUCCUUAUUUGACAUCUUGAUUCCUUCUCUUUUCAUUGUCCUAAAAUUUUUUUUUCCUACAUCUUGAGUCAAAUUUACCAAAAACCAAAUUAUCAAAAUUUUCCAAUAUAUUUGAUAUGGUUGGCCUUCAUUUCAUCUCUUAUUGAAUAGAGAUUAAAUGAACACUUGGAUGGGUUCUAAAAAUGAAGAUUGUUACAUUGGGGUCUUAUUUAAUGAACUUGAUUUGCAAAAGAAGAAAAGAACAAAACAAAAAUAAUAAAAAAUAAAGCAAAAAAAAAGAAUUAAUUAUAACAGCAUGCAAAUAAGAUACUCAAACGAGUCCCAAAUCAAAAAGAAAAAUCAAUUCUUAAUAAUUGUUUUUCAGUGAAGGUGUCCAUAUUUGACAUAAUAAAUGUUCAUCUUUCAUAUUCCUUUCAUGAAAAUAAAAUAUCAAUUUGCUACACCUUUGAGCUUGUUAAAUUUUUUUUAGAAGAACUCUAACCAAGGAUUAUCCUCCACACUGGAAGGCAAGUAUAACAGAAGAUUUAUUUAAAAAAACACUAGAUCCAAAGUUAAAGACAAGGAAAAAAUGCCUACAAUCAAAAGGCAAGUUCUAAAAUUUUGGGCAAUGAAACAUGAAGAAAAAAGAGAAAAGAAAAAAAAUGAAAGAAAGAAAAAAAAGAUGGAAAUGUAAAAUGGAAAAUGUUAUUGAGAAAAAAAAUGAUCCUUGAUUUGAUUACCUUUAAACAUAUUUUUGGGCCUAUUUAUCCUUUUUUUCAGAACCUCAAACUCUGGUCUACGUUAUGUCAUUUGAAAAACUUAUUUUGGUCAAGUGUGGAUAUUUAAACUACAAAGCUUUUCUUUAGGAAAUCGCCAUUACUUUUUUAUUUUGAAUGAAUUUUGAGUUUUUAAAUGCAUGAUGAAAUAGUAAAAAAAAAAGAUUGAAUAAAGCUUUAAGGUAAAAACUCAAAAAGGCAAUCUAAAGCAUAAUUGAAAGCCACUCAAGUAAUGUCAUUAAAGGAAGGAACCAAAUGAAAAUCUUUGGAAAAUUUGAAAAAAUAAACCCCAAUCUAAAAAUUUGUUUUAAAAUUUGAACCUUUCUUUCUUUCCCAUUGAGCCUAUCACAACUAGUCUUGACAUUUGUUAAAUUAUUAUAUCAAGAAAUUAAGGGAAUGCAAAAGUGGAUUGUGCUUUAAAAGAUGAUUUUUCAUUGGUGAACCCAAAUGAAGACAUACUGAUAUGUUUUUUCCUAUCUAGUGGCAAAAUCUCCUUUAAGAUCUUUGGUGUAUCGAACCAUUUUAUUCCCUUAAAUAGACCAAGUUAUGAUUCACUUUUAUCAUUCUAUGCAAUAAUCACCAAUUUUUAAAAGAUUCAAUCACAUGUUUUCAAAAGAACAUGCAUUUUUUUUUAUCAUAGAAUAAUUUUUUUAUUUAUCAUGAACAUAUUGGGGCAUUUGUUGUGAAGACAUUUAUAUUUGAAUUAACAUAAAUUGGUGUAGAUAAAAGAUAGAUGAUUUUAAAUCAUUAUAGUAAGAAUGACUUUUUGGAAUAAGGAGAAUGGUCAAGGUAGAAGGUUUGAAGAAGAUCCAUAGAUAAGAUAAAUGGUUUGAAAAAUGAAAUGCUUUGAGUCAAAACAAAAUGAUAGAGGAUUAUUUUGAAAACUAGCUUGUUAGCUAGUUCUAAAGCUCUGUGACAGAAAAUGAAAAAGGGCUUGAGGACUUAAUUACCAUAAUUAAAGAUUCAUGACAUUGAUUUUUGCAUUACAUGCAUGACAUUCAUCUCAUUCAUUACAUAUUUAAUUGACUUUGGAUUUUGAUUUUGAAAGGUUGAGAAUUUGGAAAUAUAAGAUUCUGACCCUUGAUUGAGGAGAAUUUAUUGAAUAUGAGAUUUCAAUUUUCGGUUGCGAAAAAAUUUUCAUGAUAAAAGUGAUGAGUUUUGGGCUAAGAAAAUUUUCAAAAUGAGAUUUGUAAAAGUGUUGAGUCUUGAUUCGAAGGUGAAACAUUUUUCAAGAUGAGAUUUUUUUAUUUCAAACAAAAUGAUUUUUUUUAACAUUUCAAAACCUCUAUCAAGGAGAAGCUUUUUCAAAGAUAAGAAAUGAUUUAUAAGACCUUCGGGCAUAAUUUGUAAGACCUCCAAGCAUAAUCUUCAAUAACUUCAAUCAUAAUAUUUAAGACCUUUAAGCAUAAUCUCAAAAAAAUAAAAGUUUUAAAAAAAAAUAAAACAUUUUAAAGAGAUUUUGAUCCUCAUGUGAGGAAAACUUUGCAAAGAUAAAGUUUGAAAUCUUUAAAUGAUUUUAAGAAAAAUUGGUAAAUCUUGGUUAAUGAGCUUUUCUAGUUUUAAAGUUUCAUAGCCUCUAUUUAGAAAGUUUUUUUUACCAUAAGAUAAAAAUCUCUUAUGCAAAUUAUUGAGACAUUGAAUUUUAGAUUUGAAUUUUUCAAAUGAUAAUUUUUUAAUCUUUAACGAAAAUUUCAAAGAAUUAUGCAAAUCUCGAGAACUUUUUUAUGAGAAUCUCAAAUUUUCAAUUUAAAUAUUUGAAUCAACCCCUAAUCUCCUUCAGAUAAAAAUCUCUUUUAUACUUUUAAAGUUGUGAAGCCUCUACUUAGAGGAACAUUUAAGUGUUAAGAUUUGUAAGACUUCUAGGCAUAAUCUCUAAGUCUUCCAGGCAAGAUUUGUAAGUCUUAUGAGCUAAAUUUAUUUUCGUGUCAAGAUUUGUAAGACUUCCUAACAUAAUAUCAAGUCCUUUAAGUAAGAUUCAUAAGUUUCCCGAGCUAAAUUUGUUAAGUAAAAGUAAGAAUAUUUUUCUAUUUUUCAAAAGUUAUUGAGCCUCUAUUAAGAUAAGCUUUUUAUAUUUUUAAAAGUUGUUGACCUUUGUUUAGAUGAGCUUUUUAUAUUGUUCAAAAAGUUUGAGUUUUUGUUUAAAAGAGUCUUUUUAAAAAAAUAUAUCUUGUAAGUUAUCCGGACAUAAUGAAUGUCUAUAUCUUUGCACAAUUCCUGUUUCACAAAAAAUGCACAAAAACUCGUAUUUGUAAAAUCUAACAUUAUAAUAAACAAUUGAUUUUACAACAAAAAUAAAAAUCUAACAUUAUAAUGUAUCAUUAAUCUUACAUAGAUAUAUAAAAUCAUUAUAUUGUUUAUAUAUAUUUAUAUAUAAAUAACAUCCAUUACUCAGUUGGAUAUCAUAUUUAAUCAAAUAUAAAUAUAUCAAAUAAUUGAUUAAGGAAUCAAUUUUUGAUCGUAAUUAUAGUAGUUAUUACAUUUUUUUAUAAUAUUUCUAAUUAGAUUUCAAUAGAAUUUUUUGAAUUUUUUAAAAAAGGUUUAACGACUGUAAUUAUAUUAUUUAUUAAUUCUUUAAAUCAUUAAAAAAUUAUUUGAUUAUAAUAUAUUAUUGAUUUAGCUUAGAUUUAUAAUUUAGGAUUUUUUAUUGGAAAUAAAAGGUAAGUUAAUUGAGAAUUUAAAAAUAUACAUAAUUAAUGCAUUGAAAUAUUUUAAAUUUUUCAUAAAAUCAAAUCAAAUCAUAUUAAUUUAAAAAGAAAUAAAUAUGAAUAAAUAUAAUUAAUACAGGACAUAUGAUGAUUGAUAAAGGUUAUCCACAUGUCAAUAUUGUAAGCAUCUAUGUUGGAUAUUUUCCUUUUUUGUCAAUUAAAGCUUUGACUUUUAUAUAUUUGUAUAAGAUAUAUAAGACUUAUAGUGUUAAAAAACGAAUAAAAAAUAGUAAAUAAAAUUAAUUAAGAGAGAUAUAGGCUAUUAAAAAUAAAUGUGAUUAAUUUAAGAAAAAUUAAAUUAAAUUAAGAAUUAAAAUCAAUUGAGAAAGAUUUAAUCUAUUAAAAGUAAAUUUAAUUAAUUUGGUUAGAAUCAAAUUAAUUGAGAGAAAAUUUAAGCUAUUAAAUAUUAAUGCAAUUAAUUUGAUAAGAAUCAAAUCAAAUUAACUCAAAUUGAAAACAUUAAGUAAUGGAUAUAUGAUAUUUAUUCAAGGCUAUCCACAUGUUAAAGAAAUUAUUUUAUUCACAUAGGAUAAUUAUCUUUUUUGCCAAAGAUUUUUUACUUUAAAAUUAAAAAUAAAUGUGAUUAAUCUAAUCAAAAUAAAAUUAAAUUAAGAAUUAAAAUUAAUUUAAAAAGAUUUAAUGUAUUAAAGUAAAUGUAAUUAAUUUAGUUAAAAUCAAAUCAGUUAAAAAUUAAAAUUAAUUGAGAAAGAAAUUUAAACUAGUAAAUAUAAAAACAAUUAAUGUAAUCAAAGUCAAAUCAAAUUAAAAUUAUUAAGUAAUGAAUAAAUGGUAAUUAUUUAAGACUAUUCACAUGUUAAAAACUUAGAUAUGGCAUAUGACAAUUAUCUUUUUAUCAAAAGUUUUGAUCUUUAUAUAUUUAUAUAAGAUUAUAUAAGAUUUUAACUAGUAAGUACCACAUUAUUUACAUUAAUGAUAAUGAGAAAUUCAAGUGGCAUUAAAGAGUUCAAGAUAUAACAUCUCUUCUCAUCUAAGGGUUUUUAAUUUGUUUUUAUAAAAAGUAAUCUUAAUCGAAUUUGGAUAGUCAUUUUCAAUCCUUGGUUUUUUUUUUUUUUUUUUGCCAGAAAUUUCAAUCCUUGAUUUGGAAUUUUUUUUUUCAACUUGAUAAAUCAUUUGAAACAAUCUAAUAAUUUGUAAACAUGCCUUCUUCGACUUUGAUUAACAAUUAAACUCAAAACCCUAAUAAUAUAUGAUGUGAUAUAUUUUUGUGUGUGUAAUUAACAGGAGAGAUUAUUCAAGAAUAUUAUGACUAAAUUUAAAUAUAUAAAAAAUUAAUUUUAAUAAAUGGAUAUAUAAUAUAAUUUUAUAAAAUUUACAUUCCAACUUUUUGAUUCAAAUAAAUAGUUUCUUAUCCAAUAAUAAUUUUAUAUAUAUUUUAUCUCAAAACGUAACUUUUUAUUUGUUUAUUGUAACAUAAAAUCAUUUAUAUUUAAAAAAUAGUUGAAUUAUUAAAUAAUUUAUUAUUAAAAAAAAAUUAAGUGACAGAAGUUAAUCAGCACGCACUUUAAAGUGAGAAUGGCCCAAAGAUGAAUAACCAGAAGGAUCUUUGAUGUUAGGGGACCUUUUUUCAAGAGAAAGAAACAAUCUUUGGCAGCUUGAAUAAAAGUUACUUGACGUUAACAUAAUACCACGUCCGGUGACGAUGCUAUCGUGUCUCUCAAAUGAUCCCACAAAUAUGAAAGGACUAUUACUUAUAAAUUUUCUAUUAUAAUAUUAUAAUUAUUCAAUACGUGGAUUUAGGCACUAGCCCAGAGCAGCGAGUAGCCAAAGCCCACGUGGACCAUAUCGAACGCCACGUGUUCCAAGCAUUCUUAAUUUUCCUUCGCUUUUCCUCAUGCACUAAAGCCCCUGUUCAUGACUCCACGCGUCCAAGUUCCCAUGAAAAGGGCAUUAGGCUUUACGACACCUGCCCAUUGUCGCUUUUCCCCUUGUUUUGUCUCAAUCAUGCGCCCUUAAAGGGCAAGGGACAUUGUUGUCAAAUUCAAACAUAGGACAACACAAAAUUAAUAAUCCAAGGACCAGUCCGAGAGACUUAUCCCCCCAAGUGGGCCCUUCUUGAAAUCCACCUCUCGACAGUUGGUCCCAGGUGGUCAAAAUUGAAGCUGGAUUAUUGGAGCUUUUACUCGUUUUAAAACAAAACUUGUUUUAGUUUCUUUUAAUGAUCGGAGACGGACAAAAUCUUUGCUUGGGAAAGCCAAUUAUCCCCUUAAUGUCCCUUUUCUUGUUUUGUAUAGGAAAUGCUUAAAUUUUGUUUACAUGUAUACAUGGGCUUGUCAAAAUCUUUCUCUUUGCUCAAGUACGAUUUAAAUAAUUGCUCUUUUGAGUUUACAUUGUUGUUUAGAUUCUAAUCGGAAUCAAAUGCAUAAAUAAAUUACAAAAUUGAUUUGAAUUUAAAAUUUUCAUUUGAAAUACAGCUUGAUUCAGCUAAAUUUAAUUCAAAAAUCAAUAAUUUAAAUUUGAAAUAAUUCAAACUUUAAUUAAUUCAAAUUUAAAAUAACUUAAAUUCAAAUUGUUUUUCAAAAAAUCAGAAUGAUGCAAUUUUUUAAUUAACUUAAUUUUAAAAAUUAAUAAUUUAGAUUAAAAUGAUUUAAAUUCAAAAUGAUCCAAAUAAAAAACUUCAACCUUAAAUAAUUUGAAUUUUCUUGGACUCAAAACGACUUGACUCCUUCAAUUGCUGCCUCUAAAUAAAUGCUAACUGAGUUUCAAUUGUGGCCUUGAUAGGAGCAUCAUUAUCUACCCAAGUUUCUGUCUAUAUAGUAAAAGAAUAUUGACUUGAAUAUUGAACUCAAUUCCAAUUAUCUAAGAAAGCAAAUAUAUAGCACUGAUUUUAAUUCAAUGAUCAGGAUUUCUAUCUCAGGAAAGAUAAUUUUAUCUACAUUUGCUUUCUCCUUCACUUGCUUUUCUCAUUUCUCAAUCCAAAAGCAUUAUCUACUUCCUUUAUUUUUGUUAAUGAAUUUGGAGAAGUUUAGGGAAGAUGGAAAUUUGUUUCCAAUACUAAAGUUUAAAUUGUUCAUUAAAGUAAUUGCAAUAUAAAGUUAAGAGUUGAAUAAAUGAUGUCAUUACAUGCUCUAAAUCCACGUGUCUUGCACUUAAGCAGUUGAUCCCAUGGCUAAAGCCAAAGGUCGUUCCUCAACUUCUAUGGUUUUUUUUUUUUUAACUAAUAUGCGCCUGGAUCACGCCCUCUAGUCUUUAGGCUAAUUAUAAAAAAGAAAGAAAUAAAGCCAUCUUCCAAUGUUUUUUUCACCUUCAGAACUGCUGUUGUAGCACCCACCUGGCAGCCAUCAAAAGCUUGAUGAAACUCAGGCAUAAUCCUGGCCUUCAAAGUUGGCAGAACCUAGAUAUGAAUUGUAGUAUCAAUAUAUAUUUCCAAAUGAAGAAAGGUUCUGUGGUAAAUGGCAGCUAAAAUGGGGAAGAAAAACAAGAGAAAAGAAUCCAAUUCUGUGGUGAUGUAUGCAACGUAAUUGGAAUAAGAUUUAGUGCUUCAUUCAAAAGAAUCAUCAAUAGCAGAUGCCAUGAUAAUCAAAGACCCUUAAUUCUCAAAGUACUGUUGGUUAUUAUAGAAUAAUAUUAGAGGUGCAAUAAUGAAUCUCAAAAGCAAAUAUGAUUUAUCAAUUGCCACAAACUCUUUAAUUUAUAAAUAUGAGAGUAGUGAUCAAUUGAGAGAAUCAAAUAUAUAACAUAUUGCUAAAUGGCUGUUCCAGUUUGAGGCUUUGAUCAGCAUCCUGGAUUCUGUCCCAGCUGGUUCAAUGUUCUACAUGGAGCAAAGAACAUUUACAUUCACAUCAUAUAUUCCUUCAAGAUCAGAGAAGAUUCUGAUGCUAAAGGAGUUAGGGUUACUGAGUAAAGAUUUGAUCACCAUUUACAAAGUGAUUGAGUCAAUGUUCUCUAAAUGAGUGGACUAUAUCAGUCUCCCGCACUUGAGCAAACAAAAGCGAUUGGGUGAUUGGAUCCCAUUGGAAAACAGAAGAAAUGCAAUGGAAGGUUUAAAUUAACUCAACCAACUCAUCAACAUUGAAUCUUUCAAAGUUUAGCAGGAAAUUAUGUUAUAUUCUUCUAGUUCACUGUCCUUUAAGAUGGCCUAAGAGUUCCUCCAAUUUGCUCAAAUCGCUGAUGCAUCAACAGCUUCUUCAUUAUUCUUUUGACCAAUGUUGAGUUACAAAGUGUAUAAAUUUAUUUUAAUUAUAUAUGCCUGAGUUUAGAUAAAUUGGUGGCCUUCUAAUUUUGGUUUUUUCUGUUCUCUGUCUUUGUGUUGCAAUUAGAUAUUAAUUUGCGAUUGACAAUGUGUUGGAUGCCACAUGUACUGUGUACAUCUAAAUCUAGGACUUUGAUUAAGUUGAUAUUUGGUGUGGAAGUACUAUUAGAUAAGAAAAGAUGUUGCAGGCAUUGAAAUUUGACCUCUAAACCUAUUAUAUAUCACUUUUUAAGAGUGAUUGCAUGAACAACUGAAUUAAGUUUUAGGUUGGAAAGUACUAUAUUUAACAUAGCAAAGAAUCAUUAUCAGUAUUGAAAAAGAUAUCUAAUUAAUGAAAUAACCAUGAAGGAAAUGAGGCUUUAUUCUUUUUCCUGUGAGAAGAUUUGAUGCCAGAUAAAGAAUAGUUUAGUGCUUUGAUUAUGUUCAAGUUGAAAGCUUAAAGGGUUGCUAUCCAGAACAGAACAUCCAUCUCCGUUUAUAGUUUUCUCUAUAAUUUUAUUAUUUAAUGGUUAGUGACAAACAAGUUGCUACUGCAUAUCACUUUUUUUUUCAGCAAAAAUAAAGUAGCAAAUCACUUAUUUGAAGGAACAUUAAAAUUGCCAUAAUCUAAAAUCCUGAAAAUUAAUGAUUAUUAACCAAGUUGAUUUAGUUGUGUGAUCAAAUCAGAUUUUAUUCUCUUUCUUGAUUAGGAUUUGAAAUUGGUUGAACUUGUCCGUGGUAAAUGGCUUUAACAUAAAUGUGGAUCAACUUUUUGGGUCUAAGGCAAAAGUUUUCAUUUAACUUGGGUAGGAAUCUUGUUGGGGUGGAUCAGCUUCUUUCAAAAUAUAAUCUACAAUCUGCAAUCAUGGGAAGAUUGAGGCUAGGCCACAUUUAAGUGCCGUAGGCGGCUGAACCAUUCAAAUUGAUAUUUUUAUUUCCUUCUUUUUCCACCCUAAGAUGACUAACACUGCUUCUAUGAUUAAUAUGGUAUAAUUUGGGAUUGAUAUGAUUCUCUAUUUGGCUUCUGCAGAUGCUUUAUUAUCAAGUUUCUGAUGGUUUUUUACCAUCUUGGAUAUUUUGAUACAAGGUUAUAACGCAUUUGAGAUAUUUAAGUUAUGUUUGAUAUAUAAGGUUAUGAUAAAAUAAAAUAAAAUGAUAUUAUGAAUAAGAUUAGAUUAAAUAAUAUAAUCCUAACUUAUGUUUAAUAUGUGCAAAGAUUAAGAUAAAAUAAUUUAUUUAUUGAUCAAAAUUAUUUUUUCUCAAAGAUUAUACAAUUUAAAUUAUUGAUAUAAUUUUUAAGAGUAUAAUAAGAUAUAUAAAUUUAAUCUCAUAAAUUAAAAAUAAUUUUCUCUACGUUAAAAGGAUUAAAUUAUCUUAUACUAAGAAAAUGAUAAUUUUUUUUUGUAAUCUUAUCUCUUUUAAUUAAAUAUUAAUCAAAUAUAAUAUAAAAUAAUUAUCAUAUUAUCAUAUCAUAUCUAUUGUUCUAUGCAUCAAAUAUGAUCAUAAAUUAUUUAGUAACAAAUGAGACAGGAAAACAACGGCUUCCCUUAAUAUUGACAUCAUGCUGCUUUUUUUUUCCCCCUUUUAGAGAGGAAACCUUGAGUACUUGAGCCGCACUACUUAAGCAUCAGGUGUAUCCCAAAUUCAAUACCUGACCAACGUGUUGGAAUCGAUUCCAUCUGCCAACUAGCCUGGCCCUACGGGGCUCCGUAUUUGCGACUACCUCUAAAUAAAGAUUCAUUGUGGCUGCAAGAGAAACAUAUUGAGAGAUGACCAUUUUACCUGCAGAGGAAGGUUCAACUGUCCGUCUUGGAACUAAUAAUCUAGGUUGUGAACCAAUAAUUCCCUUUCUUCUCCAUUAAAUUCGUAAUCUAUAUAUAUAUAUAUGUGUGUGUGUGUGUGUGUGUGUGUGUGUCACGUAGGAUAUUUUGUAUAGAUGAUUAGCUUAGUUAGCAGAAGUUUUAUCCUUAAUUAACAUAUAACCAAGCAUGUUUGGCGAGAAGGUAAUGAUAUUGACAUCUUCAACUGUCAUUUGAUGGAGAGAAUAUAGGGGGGGGGGGGAUUGAGCUGUACACAUAAAACCAAGGAGGGACCCCUUGUAAUAAUUAAAAAGCAAUAGAUAAUCCCCCGUCCUCAGCAUAUUAUUUGAAGGAUAGGUUCCUCUAUGCUUUGUGUGCUUGCUUUGCAUUUGCAUAUAAUAUUUUGCAACACAUUAAUUUCCGGCCAAUCUCACAUCUUCUAAAUCAAACAGCUCGUCCUUUCAUCAAGAUUUGUUUUAUUUUCUGAAGCAGAAAUAUGCACUUUGCAUCAGAAGAUUGCACUAUGCUUUAUCAUUUAUGUAGUAUAUAUAUACUAGAAGUUGAUUGAGACCUUGGGAAAAACUUAAUGCAAGUUGGAUAAAGGCUUGACAGUGAGAUCAGUAAAUAAAAAUAGUUCUGAAUAUAUGAAUCUAAUAAAGUGCAACUGAUGAAGCAUAUGUUCCUGAACGAAGCAGAAUAUUAGAAUCCAUUCUUUGCCAGUCUUGUGGCCCAGAUUACAAACCAGGCCUAAAAAAAUUUUUUGUUUCUUUUAUUUAUCAACAAGGAGCUGUACAGCAGGUUAUAUCUAAAGCUGUUGUAUUCGGACAUUGCUUUAACAGGCAAAUUUGUUGGAAAAUUGACCUGUGAACGAAUUGAUGCGUAGGUUCGAUAUGUGUUCACAUCAUUGCUUAUUCUUCCUAGCAAUUCCUAAGGUUCGGUUGAAAGUGAUAGAACUUUUACGAUACCACUGACUGAUAGUAACAGGUUCAGCAUUUUUUCGUGUUGUUCCGAAAUCCAAACCCUGUGCAUUGUAUAAACCUCGCACCAGCAUUUUAAAAUGUAAAAGCAGAGAUAAGAAAAUGUGUUGGAGGAAUAGCCCAAAAUGGCACUACACUUUGAUUUCAUUUCAGUCAUUUUCUAUCUCCAUUAAUGGCAGGCUUUCUGGUUCACUUCACUUACAUAAGUGCGACGGGGCAUCUUUGUGUGGUAGCAAGAUUUUAUUAGAUAUAGUCUAUACUCUAUAGAUUGCAUAACAAUUUGUUUAAAAAAUAAAGAGAGAAGAAAAUCUCAUUUCUCUUUCAUUGAUAAUAUUUUAAAAUUAAAGUAUCAUCUUAUAUAAAUAUAUAAAAACCAAAGUUUUUAGUAAAAAUGAAAAAAAUCAUAUGUGAAGGACUUAAAAUGUUGAUAUGCAAACAGUCUUAAAAAUCAUCAAAUGACAUUUAAUAAAUGCAUUUUAUUUUAUUUAAUACAUUUUUAAUUUAAAAUAAUUUAAAAAACUAAAUUGAUUAUAUUUAUAUUUUUAUUAUUAAUCUUAAAUUACUCUCAAUUCAAUUCAUAUUAAAAUUUUAAAAAUUUUUUAAUUUGAUAAAUUAAAUCAAUAUAUAAUUAAUAAAUUAAUAAAUACUACAAUUACAAUUAUAAAAUAUUGACUCUCUUAUGCAAAACUAUAUUUACGCAAAAUUACAAUAUUUACAAUUAAAACUAUAUUUAAUAAAUUAAUAAACACAUUUUGAUGAUUGAUUUAAAGAUGAUUGGGUAUAUACCAGAAAAGUUUUUUAUCAGUAGAGUCACUAUCAUGAAAGUUGAUACCACUUUUGGUUAGUAUUAUAUAUCAUGUAGGUGUAACAAAAAACUACUAGAAAUUGAUAAAAAAUUUUAAUGUUAUUCCUGUAAUGUUGAUGUCACUAAUUCAACUCCAAAGUAAUUAAUAUUUAUAUUUUCUAUAUUUGAUACAUAAAAAAAUUAUUAUUCCAUUAUGAUAAUAAAAAUAUUUUAAAUUAUUAUAUUAUAUUUGUAAUUAUAAAAUUUUGUAUUUUUUAUAUAUACAAAUCGAAUAUUGAGGCAUAUGAUAAUUCUAGAAUGACGAUGUUCGUACAAUUCAAUAUAGAAAUUAAGGAUUUAAUUAAUAGAGAUAUUAACAAUCUUUAUGAAAUAUCUAUUAAGCAUUAAGAUAAAAAUUAUUUUAAUAUUAUUUAAUAUUCAAAUUAAUUGAAUGAUAUAUUUAUACUUAUGAUUUUAAAGAAUAGAGAUUAUAAAAUCUAAGAGAUAUUUAAAGAUUUUAGAGGUAAAAUUUGUGUGUUCGAAACGAGGGCAAUCAAGUAUAAUUUUGAGACAAGUAAUACCAAACUUAUAAUGAAUAAGGUAUAUUAUUUUAAUCAUAAACUUGAAUAUUAAAAAUUAUUGAAAGAGGUAUGUAAGAGUUUAUUAUAAUGAUUAUGUUUUUGAUAAAAUUAUAUAGUUUCAAUUAUAAUUCAACUGUUGUCAAAUUGUAAAUUAUUGUUUUAUAUAUCUCUUCACCUCCAUCUGUAAAAUCUAUUAGCUUAUCAAAUAAAAUGACAUAUUUCAAAGAUAAUAAGAAAUAUUAGAGAAUCAAUUGCUGUAUUUUUAUUUCAACAAUAACUUAUGGAAGAAUUUUCUGUAGAAAAAAGUUUGUAUGCAAGAUUGAUUUUAAGAAUGAAAUUUUUAAUUUUUUGAAAUAACAAAUAUUAUUAUCUUUUGUUUAAAGAAUACUUGAAUUUAAUAAAUUAUAGUUUGAGUUUUCUUUAAAAUUCAUGAUAAUUGCAUAACUAUAUUCAAUAUGUAAUUAAUUUAUUUUAUUAUAUUAAAAUAUAUAAAUUUAAAUAAAAAUAAUUAUAUAAGUUAUGAAUUGUUCAUAAACUUCAUAGGUUAUAUUGUCAUUUAAAAAAAUUAUAUUUAUACAAAAUUUUUUAUAUAUGAAUAUAUUUUUGUACAUCGCACAAAUUUAAAACUAGUUUAAUUUAAUUGUCAAUACUAAUUAAAUAUAGUUAAAAUAUUAUUUUAAACUUAUUUAAUACAUUAUUUUUUAUUAAAUUCAAGACAAUAUAAACUACAAAUUUCUUUUUUAACUAUUGUGUACUAGUUAGUUAAUAUUUUUCAUGCGCUGAAAUAUUUAGUUCAAUGAUUAAUAUACGAUCUUAGCGCAGAGAAUAAACUCCGAAUCUCCUUUUCAUGAUUUAAAAAAAAAAAGCAUUUUCCGAGAGCAAAUAAAUAAAUAAGUUGAAAGCUGAAACUGAGUCGAUUAGAAGGCAGCGGUCGGUGAAGUUGGGCUCUCUCGGUACUCAGGGUUAGCUUAAGCUGGGUAUGAGAGCAGGCUAACUUCAGUUUCUUUGGACGGAUGGAAAUUAGAUAUUUCCCUAACCCCAAAUAAAUUGGACUUGAUUUGCAGUCAGUUUAAAACUUCUUUUACCUGGGCCUUUGAAGUGGCCUUCUCCAACAUUAACCCAGAAUUCCAGAAAAAAAAAAAGCAGCCGAAUUCGAACUGAAGGCCCAAAACAGAACUGAGAACAAACACUACUAAAACUCGAAACAAGGAAGAAAAAUUGGCAAUAAAUUAACAGUAUUUGAAUAGCUGAUCAAAGUCACAAUGUGCGUGGUUGGGUUUUUAAAUAAUUAAUGGGAACGAAAUUCAAUGUGUCGUGGCAUGUAUGUUUUGAGUUGGAAAUUUCAAACAUCAGAACAAAUACUCAAAGAAGAAAACCUUCGGUUCUGUUUUCUACGUUGUUUAGUUUGUAGAGAAUCUUCUUCUUGUUGUUCUUGCAAUUGGGGUUGGGUGGCCUAAAAGCUUGCAAAAAAAAUGGUUCUCACCUUUUUUUCUUUUCAACCACUCUUCCACAUUUUCUAAAGCUUAUUUGCUGCAUGAGGUUAAAAUAAUAAAGCAAAAUCUUAAUCAUGUUUUUUUUUUCGAAAAAGAGUUGAAGGAUUUGGCUUCUUCUUGAAUUAUUAUUUGUACGUUGAAGGAAGAAGCGGGAGAAUAGCUAGCUGUCAAUGAAUGCGGUGGGAAUUGGGAAAGACCAAAAAUCUAGGUAAAGUUUGGUACCUACAUGGGGAGUUUGGCCAAUCCUCAUGACAUUAGAGAAAGAAAAGUAGUGGGGGAGUGAAGGAGUUGUCUUGGAAAAGAUAAAUGUUAUAAUAUUGUUCAUCGUUUAGAAAACUUUCCCCAUGGAAAGGAUAAAGAUCGCAGUAAUAUUUAAAUAUUUUUUUAUUUAGAGGGUUAAUUUAAUUGAUUUAUUAAAAAAUAUUAUUUAAUAGAUCUAAAAUUUUAAAUUGUACAAUUUCUUUUUAUUUUAAAUUGCCAAUCAUAAUUAUAUGGAUUUUUAUAAAGCAAAUGAAAUUCAAAGCUUUAAUUUCCUAUCAAAAGAUAUCAACAUUGGAUGCAACAAAAAUUCAUUCAUCUAAAACAAAAUUUAAUUCAAUCACGUGAUCUUUCAAAUUUAGCUAACCAGCAAAUUUUAUAUUUUUAUAUAAAAAAAUUGUAAUUUGAAGACAAAAAAAUGAAUUUUGAGCAGAGAAAUUUAAAUUCAAUAAAUUUUUUCUUACUUUCAACACUCCAAUUCCUCGUCAAUGCAAGCUUAGGUUAAAACACUCUGCCCAUUUCCUUUUCAGUCUUCUUAUUAUUGGUAGCAACUGUUGCAGACAUUCAUCUAUAUUCGGGACAAGUUGGAGUUGAUUUUCUUAUUACUAUAGCAUGGCAUGCUACUAUUAUUUGAACUGUUUAGUAUGUGAUAUUGUGUAUAUAUAUCAGUAUUAUUAUUAUUACUUUUAUUAUUAUUAUUUUAUUACUCUUAUUGUAUUAUUAUUAUUAUUUUUUCUUUUCUUUUGCUCCACAUGAACAAGGAAAUUUGGAGGGGAUCAAGAUCAAAAUCCCACCAAUGUGAUCAAGGUUUUUAAUGUAAAAUCGAAUCAAUAUGAUUACUGAAAUUCUGGGACCUAAAAUCACGUUGGACAGAAUUCAAUCUCAGGAUUCAAGCUUAUGAUUGAUUCAGUUCGUUUCCUAAAAUUGGUUCUUAAGCUGCCUAUAAAUUGAACUAAGGGUCAGAGGUGCAACAAGCAGAAAAAAUAAGGAAGAAAAUUGCUGGUGGUAAUAGUUUCAAGAAAGUUUUGGCAAUAGGGUUUGAUUUCAAUUUUGAAAGGUUUUGGGAAUUCUAAGUUAGCAUUUAGAUUUUUGGAGUUAUAGGUAGGUUCUAGUGAAUUUUUGGAGCUUUCUGAGAAAAUUUGAGAUUUUUUGGGGAUUUUGGGGAAAAAUCUAAAUUUUUUGAAGAACACAAUAAUUUUUCGAUGAGUUUUUUAGCGAUCGGUUGAAUUUUUUGGUCAGAUUCCAACCAAAUUUUCUAGAAAUCGACUAAAAAUUCAGUUUUCGAUCAAACUUUUGGCUUUGUUUUAUAGAGAAGUUGAGCUUUUAGAAGUUAGAAAUAGAAGGAACUUGGGGAUUCUAAGAAAAAGAUUGAGGAUUGCCUUUUAUACAAUUUCAAAAUGACAACGUUUUGAACAUCCUUAAUAGACGCAUUUACUUGGCGACCCAUGUGUCAACCCACGCACUGACCCAACCCAGAUCACAAGGUUUCUUUUUUUAUUUUAGUUUUAUUUUGAUUUGAUUUGAUUUUAUUUUUAGCUCAUUUUAUUUUUAGUUUUAUUAUUUUUUGUUUUAUUUUUGAAAAAUUUAUUAUUUUGUAAAAAUUGUUUCUUUUUAAAAAUAAAGGAAAAACGAUUGUAUAAAAAAAAUCUUUUCAAUAAAAAAAAAAAAACAAAGAAAAAUCUUUUCAAAUAAGUUUUCAAAAUAAAAAAAAGAUCUUUUUAAGUUUUCAAAAAAAAAACUUAUAAAAAUAAAAAAAAUCCUUUCAUUAAAAAAUAAUCUUUUUUAAAUAAAAAAGUCCCUACAAAAUAAAUUCAUGGAAUUCUAUUAAAUUAUUGGAGAGUUUUUAUGGAUUUAAUUUUUAAAAUAGAAUCCACCAAACUAUUGAAAAAUUCUAAAAAUUAGUUUUCAAAAUAAAAUAAAAAAAAAAUAAUUUUUAUCCUCUCAAUUAUUUAAGGAUUGUUUCAAAAUAAAUCUUAUUAUUGAAAGAUUUUGCUAAUUUUUUUGAAUAAAAAUACAUUAAUAAAUUCGAUGAUGAAAUCUUUUCAGAGUGAGACACUAGUCUCUAUAAAUACUCAUGAGAUGAGAGAAUUUUCUUAAAUUACUACUAAACUAUUGGAACAAUCUUAAGAUACAUUUUCAAUAUUAAAUUAUCUAGUAAAUCACAAAUAUGAUCAAGGCUUAGAUAAUCUGAAAUCUAAAUGAUAUAAUAUUUUGGAUGAAUGCUGUGAGAAUACUAUAAUCUUUUUAAUGUAUAAUUGUAUUUUUGAACCUAAAUUCUAAUUUUAUAUAUCAAAAUUUAUUAUUUAAAGAUAUCUAAAUUAAUUUUGAAACUUUUUUUAGAUAAGACAAAUUAAAUCAGGUGAUCAAUCCUACUUAAACUAAAAAGAUUAAUAAUGAUUUUUUUAAUCUAUGUCUAAUGAUAAAUUUAUAAAUUUAUAUGUUAUUAUAAAAGUAACUUAGUAUUUUUUUCAUUUAUUUUUAUUAAUACCUCAGUCAUUUUUGUGGUGCGGAAAAUGUGUAUGCUUAAAAAGUUGCUGAAAAGCUUCGUUAAAAAAGAAAUUAAGUGGAAAAGUCAGCAUAGUAGAAACUGUUUAAGUACGUAAUAAAAAAAAGGACCAGAAUGGAAGAACGAUGUGUUAUCAGUACCUGAAUUUUAAGCAGAAACGCUGACCUGAUCACAGGCCACACUCUCUCUUCUCUCUUUUUUUUUUUUUUUGGCCUUUAAAUACAUGUCUGUCUGAGCCCGUGACAGUCAUCAUCUCGAAUCUCCCGAGGGCAAAAGCACAGAAAAAGAAAUAGUGAAAAAUUGCAGUGAACGAGGGAGGGAACAGGGAUGAACUAUGAAAGUGGUUCCUAUUUUCAUGAUUUUAUUCAUGAAUUACUACUAAAUUUUGUACUACUAUAUAUCUUUUAUAAAAUAUAUGGUACGAUACAACAAAAAUAUUUAAAUAAAUGUUAAAAAAUGUUAUAUUAUUUGCAAAAACAAGAAUUUAUAUCCACUCCAUCCUUCUGCCAACCUCAAUAUCAAAAAAUAAUAUACGGUAUUAUAUAAUUUAUGGAGCUAAUGUAGGUCGGUAUAUUAGCUCAACUAAUCCUCUGACUCGUCUUUACUUAUUUGCCAAUUCCUUUAUAUAUGUCUCAUCAUCAUACUCAUUAUAAGUUAAUUGUUAUGAUCAUGACUUUUAUGAAUUUUUUUUUUCUUUUUUGUUUUACAAGAAGAUAUGAUAAAACCCCCUUAACAAUGUGAUCUAAUUAAUUAUCUUUAUAAAGAAAAUUAAGUGCUAUAUAUUUUUCAGAUACUUGAGGAAAGUUGUAAUUACACUAUAUGGCUAGAGGUUUUCCCUUAUUUUAUAGAUUAAUGAAAUUAAUCUCUUUUAUUGAAUUUUUUAACUUAAAAUAAAUAAUUUUAAAAUUAUUCACAUGAUAAAUGAAAUAUUUCAGGGUAUAAUUAGAAAAUAUUAUAAUAAAUAAUUUUUUUAUUUUUACUUUUUAACCAAACAAUAAUUGUUAAAUUUUUUUCUUUCUUUUAUUAACUUUAACUAUUCAAAUAAAUGUUACAUGUAUACUUUCCUUUUCUUUAAAAAUCCUUCUUUUUCCUUUACUUUCUUUUACUUUAUUUUACCAAAAGGUAGGAAUCUUUUAAAAUAUUAUUUGGUAUGGGGUAAUCAUUCCAAAAAUCAUGAUGAUUUACAAAUGGUAAUUAAAUCACUGUGUUUGGUAAUCACUUGGUGAUUUUACAUGAUAAUGGUCUUGGAUUAUGAAGAAUGAUCAUAUCACUGUCUUGAAAAAUGAUCUAAUUCUCAUACAAAAAGGUAAAAAAAAUUUUAUCACGAAGGUGAAGUAAUAUGUCAAAUUAACAAUAGUUAAUAUUACCAAUUUAAUAUGUGAAUUAAAAAUUUACUUCCUUUUAAAAUUGUAAGUAUUUUAUAUUAUAAUUUUUUAUAUUUUCAAACUAAUAUUCAUUAUAAUAAGUUCAAAAAUAAUUUAUAUAUUUUUUAGUUUUUAACAUUUUACAUAUAAUUUUUUUCUUCUAUUAUGAAUUUAAUAGAUUAGAUUUAUUUUUUAAUUCAAAUAUUUUUUACAUAAUUUAUAUUAUAAAAUUUAAUUUACAUAUCAACAAAUAUAUUUAUUAAUUUAAUAAUUAAAUUAUAUUUUAUUCUAAAAUAAAAUAACAUAUUACUAAUAUUUUAUAAAUUAUUAUCUUUAAAUAAUAUUAAAAUUAUUAAUUUGUGUAACUAUUAUAAUAUGCAUGCUUAUUUUCGUACUUUCAAAUAAAAUAAUGUUUAAUUUUUAAUAAUACCAAAAAUAAUAAUCUUUAAUUCCUAAGAAUUAAUAAUUGUUAAUUAAAUAAAAUAAUUUCAAAUCACAAGUGAUAAGAUUACCUUGAUAAUAAGAUCAUCUCAAUAAUUAUAUUACCAUAGUAAUCUUACAAAAAAAUACAAAGCUACCUAAAAAUGAAGUUUUUUGACAACUUUGUUAGAUAAAAGUAGCAUAUAUUGGAAUCAAAAUGAUUAGCAUUGGACAUAGAAAUCCUAAAUUUUAAGGUUGUAAAUGAACUGAGCAUAUUAUUAAGGAACAUCUUAAAUUUUAAGUAUGUUCCUUUAAUUAACAAACUUUAAAUUCUAAAUCUGUUUCUUUAAUUACCAAACUUUAAAUUAUUAUUUGUAAUUAUUUGUUAAAUGUAAUAAAAAAAUUAAAUCUAUUCAUAAAUUAUUCUUCAAAAUCUAUUGGUUUACACCUCUACUAAUUUCUAAAUGCUAAGAUAUCUUCCUUAAUCAGUUUUAACAAGGUUGCCAUCAAGUUUAAUCAGGGUGAGCUGUGAAUUGUGAUUAUGAGCACCCUUUUAAGUAAAAAAAUCCCCUUACAGAAGAAAAUCCAAAUUAAUAUACGCAAUUACCUUUGUCUAAACUUACUUUGCUUUGUGAGUGACUGUCCUUAAACUUAAAAAUAUGGAAUUAUUAUAGUGGUUUAAUAGUAUUUUUAGUUUUCUUUUUGUUAGUUAUAGGAUUAAGAUAGAGCUAAAUAUAACAGCCGGAGCUGAUGCUUUGAUUAGGUCAUAAUUAUGAUCUUGUGGUGGACAUGUGAUUUGAUAUCGAGGAGAAAAAGAGGGAGAGAAAAAUGGGGAGCCCCCUGAUGCUAUAGCCUAUAUAUAAUGUUAUUUUCCCUGACUACAUAUAUUGACGAUGAGAUAGAUACAUAGAUACAUAGACGAGCAUAGUGACAUGCGAAAGAAGAAGAGAGAGAGAGAGAAGAGGGGGUGCGGAUUGGGGAUCGUGGAUAUUUCUGAAACCCAAGACUCAGACGUAGGGUCAGGGGAGUCUGCUACUUUUAUUACUUUGUCCUUUUCAUCUCUCCUUCUUAGCCUUUUUAUCUGUUACCAACUUUUCUUUUUCCCACUUCAUCAAUCACCCAUAUCAUUUCUCAUUCACUGUUAUCGCUCACAAUAAACCCACUAUCUCUCUCUUUCUUUGCUUCUGGCCCUUUCUCUUGUUCAGGGUAUCUAGCUUAAGAUUGAUUUUUUUUAGGUGAAAUAGAUAAGAAGAACGAAUGAAGCCGUUUCUUUUGAGGGGAAUGUUGUCUGGCUCGAGGUCAUCAACUAAAUCUAUGGUUUUAUCUCAGUUGAUCGAAAUUAUUUUUGGAUUUUAUUUUUCAGACACAAAAUUAAGAUCAUGAUGAAUCAUUGAUCAUAGGUUAGUGAUGUCGGACCAGGCUUCAUUCCCCCCAAUUAUUGCUUCCAUUUUCAGUAGUGAUUUUUAAUUUUGAUUGUUUAAUUUCCUCAUUUUUUUCCAUGAUCUCCUGGUAAGGUUUGAUUGUUUCUUUUUGUUCUCUCUUCUCUGUUACACCUAAUUUAUAGGUGUUUUUAUAGAUUUGUUUUUGUUCAUAGUGCUUUUUAUUUAUUUUGAAGUGUUCUUCUACAUGGAUUUUUUGGUCAAUAGGGAGAUUGAGGUCGUUGGGACGGGCAGAUUGGUGAAAUGAUGAAAGAUUUUGACUCCUCUUUUCCAUUUUUUUUUAAUGAUUGAAGCGGAAAAGGAUCAUCAUUACUCAUUUUCAUGGUAUACCUUUUCUUCUCUCUAAAUAUUAUGGCUCUAGUGUAGUCAGUUGUGUUGUUUGUCAGUCUUAACUCCUUUGGACUGAUUUUUUUUUUCAUGAUGGCUUUAAGAAUCUUCUCUGUCCGUUUCUGCUCCAUCCUGAUCUAAACCCUGGAUGCCUUCUUCCACCCUCACAACCAUUAAAAACACUUCUUUCCUAACCCUUUUCAUUUUCUCUUUUUUCUUACAUGACCAGGAUUUCAGUUUAGGGUUUCUAGGUGGAUAAAGAGAAGUAGCUCUUUUAGAAGUUAGAACACUAGUUUUUAGCUUGAGAUUCUCUUGUUGGAGUAACUUUUACUAUUGAAGUGAAUGUUCUUUUACCUGUUUUCAACUUUGGCGAUGCUUAAAUCGAGGUGUUCUUUUUUCUUAAACCUUCUAACUCUUUCUCAUAAAAACUUUUAUAUCAGUUCCGCUUCUUUUCUGGCAAGAAGUGGUGGAGCAGUGUAAUCUCCGCCUCUUUUUUUUUUUAUGUCUGCUUUUACGUCUGAUUAACUUCGGUACUUUUAUACUGUUAACGCUUUGGAUCUGUAUUAUCUUGUCUACUCAACUGAUGGUCUUGAUACCUCCUGCUAGGCUGAAGACUUGGACUCCACUUCCUGGAGGUAUUCUUUGAUAUAUUUUGUUUAAUUUAUUAUUCUGACCUCAAUUUCUUUUUCAAAUAUGUAAGUGGUUUCUUAGAAGUUAGAUCCAAAUUUGAGCUUCUGACUUGCAAAUCUCAGAAUUAUCAGCAAGAUUUGAUCCUUGCUUGCUUUUGUGAAGCGUGUGUUUUACACUUCUAUUGCUUAAAGAAAAGUAAAAGGUGAGAGAAUAAUCUUUCAAAACACCAAAGAUUUGUGACUAAUGAUCAGAAGUGUUCGAGAAUCAAACCCACUAGCAAAACUUUGCCUCUUAGCAUUUAUAAAUGAAUGAAGCACUUUUCAUAAACCGAUGAGGUCUAAGUAAUUAGCAUUAUGUAAAGAAACUAGUUUUGAAAUUCUGGGAUUGAUUUGCUACAAAAAAGGAAUGAUGUGAUAGAUUGGACCUGUGAUUUUUGCUUGAAUCAUGUGGUCUUGUCUUUCACUUGAUAAGCUGCUUGCGGUUUAAAACAGAAAUAAUACCCAUGGCUUUUCUCUUUUUAAUUUAUUAUGUCUUCAUAUAUAGUUAUUGUUGACCGGUUCUCGUGUUUCGUCUAAAAUACAUGGCAUUGAUUUUAGAGGUUUCAAAAGAGAAAACAAGCCAGAAAGGAAUGGAAACUAACAGGGAAAAGAAAAGAAAGGUGAGAUGAUAUUUGUUUAAUGUCUUGAUGUUAAUUUAAUGUGUUUUUCUUUAGAUGGUGAUCCUAUGUAGAUGAUCAAGCAGACGGGCAGCAGAGAGUAUCCAGAAAUGAAAUAGAGAAAGAAAAGAGGUGAUUGAAAAGGUGAAUGAAAGAGAAGCGUCAUCAACAGGGUACAACCGUGAUGGGUCUUUCUACCUGUAUGCAAGCUCCUGCUGCUGCUUGGCUUUUGUGUAUGUUAUGCCUUAUUCUGUCAUCAAUUUUUGAAGCUGAGGCGUAUGCAACACUGAUUGCCUUUAAUGGUCUGACUCUCUCUCUCUCUUUCUCUCUCUCAUGUUUUGCUAUUACACAGUUGAGUCAACAUCAGCAUUGACGCCAUGGAUUCUUCUUUAAACUGACUCUGAUUAAUAUAUAUAGACUACCGACCCAUGUAUCUGCUAAAAGUAAACUGAUCUAUGAAUUUAAACCCAAGUUUUUAAUUUUAUUUUAUUUUUUUGCUUUCUAUUCCGCAUUCUAGUUAGGAAUCUAGUACAUAAUUGUUAGCUUAAGUGGUGCAACCCCAAUUCCCCCUGGCAUCUGUUCUAGAUCUCUUUUGCAUUUGCAAAGCAAAACCAAAGAAUCUUUGAAGCCACAAUGACAAAAGGUGUCGCCCGUAAAAGAUGCUCGACCCAUGAAACUGCAAUUUUUGUUCUCAAUUUUUUUUAUCUCUUAAUGGAAUCAAAUUAUUUUAUAUAUCAACAUUAUGCGACAAGAAUAUAGUUGACUAUUGCAAAUACAUAUUUCUUUUGAAAUUACUCGAUCAAGAGCUUUGUUUCCUACUUCCAAGCAUGAACUAAUUUAUUUGUUUGUUUGAGAGACUAUGACCCUUGAACAAAAUUAAGGUAAUUUGUCCUUCAUCAUUUGUUUGUUUCCAAAUGAAGCAUUUGUUCAAGUGGCAAAUCACCUCUUCUGUAUACAUAGAGAUAUCAUGGAUUUUCAUUUGAUCUGAACCUCCGCAAUUGACGUCAUGCAUCGUUUAAUUUGCAAUUCUUACAAGAUUUUGCUGUUCUUCUCUACGAGUUGCUUGAAGGAUUUUUCUGGCAAAUCAUCAAAUAUUUGCUAUUAACAAUGCGAGUUUCUGAGGAUAACUUAUUUCAGUUCCAUUAAUCUUAAUUCGUCUAUAUAUCGUCGUAAAGCUGCUUGAGUAGUGCUAGUCUCCAACAUGCAAUUUCAAUCAUUCGUUAGAGUGGCAGCUUAGUAUUUGGUAGUUAAAAACAGUAGUUGCCAACUUUGAAUGUAAGCCUUAAGUACGCUUUUUAAGGUGAUAUUUAGUACAAAACGUGUUUAAAUGUUUCAAAUUCUAAAAUGGUGUGAUAGAAAUAAUAACAGUGUUUGUAAAUGUAUAAAAUUUCAAAAUAAAAAGUUUAAUGUCGCUUAUACCAAUUAUUUAGAUAGUUGUUUUUUCUCAGAUUACUUUUAAAAAUUUUUCCUCGUUACUACAAUAAAUAAUAUAUAUGUGAUGAUUUUUAUGCAUUGACUGUUGGAUAGAGAAAAUUUUUUUAAAAUAAAAUUUUUCAAUAUUUGUUAAAGAAAGGAGAUGCUAUUUAAUUAUUUGGUAUAGAAGUAGUGUUAAGAACAAUCUAGGGUUUUGACCAAUGACCACUUCUCUUGUACAGCCUAUGUUAACGGUCAACUCCUAUAUCAGUCCAAAGAAAACGCCCUAGAAAACAAGAAAAAAAAAAGGCAUUGAUCUUGUGUUGCAAGCAAGGAACAAUGCAAUUUUCUAUUGUCCCCCGCAAACAUCAAUAAACUUUUGCCUUUUUGUUUUAAGGGAGUUUAUGUCUGGACUCUGGACAAACACCACGAAUUAAUACAAGUGCAGCAUUUUGCAGCAUCUAUGUACUGUAAACCAAUGAGUUUAUCUGACCAAAACCCAAAACAGCCAAGGAGUUCCAAGUGUGGGUGGGGGCAUGACCACAUUCAGAGCUGUUGUCGGGCUGUGGGCCUGGCCUUUUAAGUUCAGAAACAGUAAAAAAUUUUCUGAAUGGGUAAGAUAGUUUUAUAAGGCUCAAUCCCAAACAGAUUCCAAAAGUAGUGCGGUUUGCCAUGUAGUCGGUGCAAUAGCUCUGAUAAGAUUUGAGUCAUAUAAUUUUACAUUAUAUUUAAUGUAUAAGAUAAUUGAUAAAAUAAAAUAAUAAUUAUUUUAUAUUAUAUUUGAUUUGUAUUUAAAAAAAUGAUAAGAUUAUUAUCCUCUUAGUAUAGAAUAAUUUAAGUUUCUUAAAGUGAAAAGAAUUAUUUUUAAUUAAUGAGAUUAAAUUGAUAUGUUUUUUAUAUCUUUAAAAAUUACAUCAAUAAUUUAAAUUAUUUAACUUUAAUGAAAGAUAAUUUUGAUUAAUAAAUAAAUUAUCUUAUCUUAAUCUUUACACACUUCAAACACAAGAUAAGAUGAUAUUAUUUAAUCUAAUUAUAUUUAUAAUAUUAUCUUAUCUUAUAAUAUAUUAUUAUAUCUUAUAUAUCAAACAUGAUCUUAAUUUCUUGUGCAUACAAAAAAUUUUUAAUUAUUCAAAUUUUCUAAUCAAGUAGUGAUUUUUUAAAAAAAUUUAAAUGAGGGGAGGUUUUGUCAUUUUAAGAUCAAUGCAUGUUGUAUGCCUCAAGGAUAAUUGUUUACCAAAAAAAAAAAAAUGGUUGAUAGCAAAAAUCGAAAUUAAAUCUUACAAAUGAAAUAUUCAAUUUUUUGCAACUCAACUAAUUUCAUUGAUUGUUUAUGAAUAUGUUAAUAUGUUUAUAUGUUUAGAAUAAUCUUAUUCUAAUCUAAAUAUUUUUUGUGUUCCAAAAUUUUGUUUAAAUCAUGUAUUGCUUUAAAUACAAUGUAAGUAGCUUUCGACUUGUUUUAAUUCAAAAUUAGAUUUUACUUGUUUUGAUAACAAAGUUUUCUUGAAAGAAAGAUAGAUGGUGAAACAAAAAAUGUCUUAGUACGAGGAAGUGAGAACAAAAAAUGCAACUAUUUUAUUUAUGAUUAGAGUACAAUAUUUUAUAAGCUAAAAUAGUUGAGAAAUAUCAAUUAUCCAUGACCACCAUUACUUCCAACAAAUAGACCAUUAUCUAUUCCUAAGUGGACCAUGAUGUCCUCCUAAAAAUCUCUAACAAUCUUGACUUUACCAAGUCUAAAUGACUUAUAGUCUAACAUAACCAAAUGCAGCUACUUGAGCAUAACUAAAGUAAAAUCCAACACAGCAUGCACUAAACUUUAACACUUCCCCCUAGUGCACUACAAAAUUUUUUUUAUAUAUUGACGCUUGGUUAUAUUAACAGUCAAAUUUUAUCAGUAAAAGAGAUUUUUACUGACGGAUUUUUAAUACAAUCAGAAUAUAUCAUACUUAUACUAAUACUUUAUUUAACUAUCAUAUAAAUAAACUUUUUUUGACUGUAUAUAACUAUCCGUUAGUAUAAAUAUGUUAUAUAUUAACAGUUAUUAACGUAACUAUUAGUAUAGGUUCAAAAAAAAAACUAUUGACUUGCAAAAAAUUGAAUGGGAUUAUUGAAGGUAUUUUUGGCCAAAAACAUUUUUAAUAAUCCAUUCAAAAAAUUUUGAAAAGGGAUUAUUAAAGGCGUUUUUGAUCAAAAAUGUCUUCAAUAAAAACACCUUCAAUAAUCCAUACAUAAAAUUUUUUUUGUGGAUUAUUUACUGAUAGUCAAAUUUCGUCAAUAAAAGAGAUUUUUACUGAUAGAUUUUUAAUACCGUCAAAAUAUAUCAUACUUAUACCAACGCUUUAUUUGACCGUCGGUAUAAAUAAAAUUUUUUUUAUGGUAUAUGACUAUCCAUCAGAAUAAAUACAUUAUAUACUAAUGGUUAUUAAAGUAAUCGUCAGUAUAGGCUCAAAACAAAAAAAAAUAUUGACUUACAAAAAAUUGAAUGAGAUUAUUGAAAGCGUUUUUGUUAAAAAUACCUUUAAUAACCCAUCUAAAAAAUUUUAAAAAGGGAUUAUUAAAGGCAUUUUCUAAUUAUAAAAAAAUUUGUAAGGGAUUAUUGAAGGUUUUUUUAGCUAGAAACACCUUAAAUAUUCUUUUAUAAAAAAAAUGAAUAAGAUUAUUGAAGGCGACAAAAAAUGCCUUGAAUAAUCUAUUAACAAAAACACUAGAGCAGUUCAAUCAGUUAGAACAUACGAUUAUUAACCAUUAGGUCAUAGGUUCGAUCUUUUACUCCAGCAUUUUGAGGGUUUUUCAAGGGAUUAUUAAAAGCGUUUUUAGCCAUAAACAUCUUGAAUAAUCUCUUACAAAAAAUUGAAUAUGAUUAUUCAAGGUGUUUUUGACCAAAAACUCCUUGAAUAAUUCAUUAACAAAAACACUUGAGUAGUUCAGUUGGUUAGAGCAUACGGUUAUUAAUCAUAAAGUCGUAGGUUUGAUCCUCCCUUUAGCAUUUUAAGGGUUUUUCAAAGGAUUAUUAAAGGCGUUUUUGACAAAAAUGCUUUGAAUAAUCCCUUACAAAAAAUUAAAUAACCAAAAAUGUUUUUAAUAAUCUCUCGAAAAACUCUUAAAAUACCAGAGGGAGGAAUUAAACUUACAACUUUAUGGUUAAUAGCCGUAUGCUUUAACUAACUGGAUUACUCCAGUGUUUUUGUUAAUGGAUUAUUCAAGUCAUUUUUAGUCAAAAACCUUUAAAUAAUCUUAUUUAAUUUUUUUUAUAAAGGAUUAUUCAAGGAGUUGUUAGCUAAAAACGCCUUGAAUAAUCCUAUUCAAUUUUUUAAAGGAUUAUUCAAGGCAUUUUUGGCCAAAAAUACCUUGAAUAAUCCCUAAAAAGAAUGGCAUGGAUUAUUUAAUGCAUUUUUAGCUAGAAAUGCCUUGAAUAACCUCAUUUAAUUUUUAUGAGGAGGUUAUUCAAAGCAUUUUUGGUCAAAAACACCUUGAAUAAUCUUUAAAAAAAUAGUAAAGGAUUAUUCAAAGCAUUUUUGGCUAGAAAUGCAUUAAAUAACCUUAUUAAAUUUUUUGUAAUAAAUUAUUAAAGGUAUUUUUGGUGAAAAACACUUUAAAUAAUCUCUCAUAAAAUUUUAUUAAGAGGAUUAUUCAAGCCGAUUUUGACCAAAAAUACCUUGAAUAAUCCCAUUGAAUUUUUUGUAAGAAAUUAUUUAAGAUAUUUUUGACAAAAAAUGCCUUGAAUAAUCCAACAAGAAAUGGCGGGCUUAUGAAUUUAAAUCAUUUUUUUACCUCUACCUUCUAUCGACUCUAUAUGCUUAAUCUCCACUUUCUACCAACUCUUUCCACCUCUCGUCGACUCUACAAACUUAAACCCAUUGGCACCUAUUUUAUUUCAGAGCUGAAUUAAAGUUGAAGCAUCAAAACUCUCGUCAUUUCUCAAAUGUAUUUUUCAUUUUUUACAUCUCAAUUUUAUGUCAUUGAGCAUACUUUUUUUUUUUUGUAUUUUUGGCUAUAUUGGAUGAAUCUAGGCUCAGUCUUUGUCACUUCAAAAAGUAGAGGAGGGCCUGAAAAUGUUAUUAACAACAUUAUUUUUGUUAAUGGAAUAGCUUUAAUAGGAAAAAUAAAUGAAAACUUUAUCUAUUCUACUAUGGAUUGGUGGCCUUUUGAUAAAUAUGACUAUGAAACACGUAGUUGGGGAAGAGCUUCUUUUUUAAUCUAGUAAGCAGCUUAUCCUUAGGCUUUUCGAUAAAAACAUCACAAAAUUUUUUUUUUUUUGAAAUUUAAUGCCUGUUUAGCUUUUAUAGAAAUAUCUUAAAUAACAAUCUGGCUGAUCAAAAAAUGAAUUAUGUGGCUCCGAUAUUGGAAUAAGAGUUGCAAUAGAUCAACAUAUAUCUUAUGUGAAUAAUCUUCAAAAAAUUAUUCAGAAUAUAUAUAGAAGAUUUGAGGUUCAGCUAUUAGUAAUAGCACCAAGAGGAUUCUUUGAUACAAAUUUUGAACACCAUGUUUGUAGACAUUCAAUCAUAGAUAUUAAUGUUUUUUUUUUUUUUUGGAUUUGGUACAAUGAUGUUAGUUCUUGACUUAUUUUAAAUUUGUGGAUUAUAAAACAAUUUGGUUGUUGUUUUAUUUCAAAUGUUAUUAAAUAUUUUUACUAUUUUAUGUAUUUUUACUUUAUAUGAAAUCAUAUCAUAUUAUGAUUACAAAUAAAUUAAUAUUAAUAAUUAAAAAAAGUUUUUAUCGAUGCCUUAAAAUUUAUACUAACGAAAUUUACUAUUAAAAUAUUUUAGAUUAUACUAACAGUCUAUACUGACAAGCAUUAACCGUCAGUAUAGGAAAAAAAAAUUAAAACAUACAAGUCUAUACUGAUGGGUGUUAGCCAUCGAUAAAAUGUAUAACGGUUUAACAUAUAAUGGAUGCUAUACCAACAGAUAUACAUUUACUAACAGUCUUACACCGUAGGUAUAUCUUUGUAAGCUAUUUCGACACUUUAAAAACCUUCAGUAUAGGUCUAUACCAACAAGAGAUAUACUAACAGUUAAAAAUUCAUUGAAAUACACAUUUUAAUCAUUGAUAUAGGGUUUAUGGUUCUAUAAUGAUAGAUUUUAAGGUUUUACCAACACUUUUUUGAGUGUCACUAUAUGUCAAAUUUCUUGUGCAUGCUUUUGAUUUAUUAAACCAAUAGCUUCACAAAAGAGCUCCAACAUCAGCUUUGUGAGUGCUUUGGUGAAGGUAUCAGUAACUUGAUCACUUAUUCCAAUAUUUUUCACUCAAAUUCUUGUCCAAGAACUUCUUUUUGAAUGAAAUGGUGUUGAACCUCUAUGUGCUUUAUUCGAGCAUUAAAUACUGGGUUUGAUGCUCAUUUGAUUGCAUUUUGAUUGUCACAUUUCAAGGUAAUGGGAUAGUCCAUUUUUUUAUAGAUGUCAGUUAUUACCUAAUAUGAUAAUAUAUAAAAUAACUAAAGAUAAACAAAAAAAACUAAUAACAAAUAAAUAAAUAACAUUAUAUAUAUAAAAGGAUAAAAUCGAAACAAUGAAAAUAAAUAAAUAAAUGAAAUGAAAUGGGUAAUUGAGCUUAACCCCAAUUGGUUUCGACCUAAUCAAUUUGGGCCUGGACUAAAUAGUGUGUCUACAGUUACCUCUCAUUGCAUAUUUCUGUGCAAUAGAAAUUAUGCAAAGAUAUAAAUAACUUAUUAUGAUUGAAUCCAGAUUAUUCACCCUUUUUUUAAACUCUCUUUUUAAAUAGACACUCAAACUUUUUGAGUAGCAUGAAAGCUCCUCUAAAUAGAGAUUUGACAUCUUUAAAAAAAAAAUAGAAAGCUCUCCUAAAUAGAGGUUGAACAACUUUAAAUAUAGAAGCUCCUCUAAACAAAAGUUCAAUAACUUUAAAAAAUAUAGAAAGCUUUUCUAAACGGAAGCUCAACAACUUUAAAGAACAUGGAAGGCUCGUCUAAAUAAAAUCUCAAUAACUUCUAAAAUAAAUACCCAAAGGUUUUGACAAUCAUGCUUGAAGGUCUUAUAGAUCGUAUCUAAGAAAACUAGGAGAUUAUGCCUGAAGGUUUUACAAAUUGCUCCUAAUACUAAAAAAUGCUCCUUUGAACAAAAACUCCACCAUUUUAAAAAUUUGAAAAAUCUUUCUUGACCAUGACUGAUUUUCUUGAAAUACCCUUUUUUCAAGGAUUAGUAUCUUACCUCAUAUGUUUUUUCUCAAAUGAGAAUUUAAAAUUUCUUCACUGAAAAUUUUUCAUAUUUAUCUUUUUGAUGUUAGAUCUUACAAUACUCUUGUUUCUUGGAUUCAUGCAUUAGACAUUCCUAAAUGCAAUGUAUGCUAUGCAAUGUUAAUUAAAUUUUUUUUAAUUGUGGCACACAGGUUCUUAAGUCUCUUUCUUUUGGAUUUUGAACACUUCAAGUUUCAAGCAAUAAGACUAAAUUGACUAGAGUGCUUAAUCAUCUUUCUCAUUUAACAUUAUCACCCAUAUUCUCCUUUUAAAGCAAUCUUUUUUUAUUUCAUUUCCAAAUGCAGUGUCCUUAUCAGGCCUUGAACAUUUCAUAUUUGCCUUUAUCACUAUCAACCUUUCGUAGGUAAUAUAGAAAUCUUUCAUGCUAUUAUUCAUUUAUGAAUCAUUAUUUCAAUUUUAAGAAGUAAAAAUGUAAUCACAAAGUUUUUCAUUAUGAGAUAUUUAAGGGAAAAACAUAGAGGUUGAUCGAGAAUAAAUAAUCAUUAAAAAUGAAAUAUCUUUUAUUUUAAAAAAUGAUAAAACAACUUUAGCCAUUGAACAAUAUGUAAAGGAAAAAGUUACAAUGAUGGGUUAUUGGUGUAACAACACUUAAAAUAAACAAUCAAAUAAUCAUGAUAAUACAUCUUGAAGUCUUUUUAAAAAUUCAAACACUUGAUGGACCUAACAACUCAGAGUUCAUAGAAAUAUGCUAGCCUCGAUGUUGGUGAUUUCCCAAAUUCGAUGCUGUAUCUUUUUCAUCUAAGCCACAUUUUCAAGUUUUCAACUUAGAUGUAUCCCUUUUGACUCAAAUUCUCCUUUUGAAUUUUGAUUUGAGUCCUCUUAUUUCAUUUUUUUAUUUUUCAUUUUUUUCAUUUUUUUAAGUGUAGUAUUUCUUCAUAGCUUUAAAAUUUAUAGGAUUAGGCAAAUCAUCUCCAUCCAUCUUUGUUAAGACUAAUGUUCCAUCCCAAAAAGCUCUUUUCACAAUAUAUGACCAUUUCCAAUUUAGAGUCUACUUUCUUCUAUUAUAAUGUUGGCUUAGGAGAAUUUUUUUUAAAAACCAAAUCCUUUUCUUAAAAAUAAUGAGGUUGGACCUUUUUAUCAUGAACUCUUAUUAUUCUUCUCUGACAUAGUUAACCAUGACACAAUGCUAUCAAUCUUUUCUUUUUAAUAAAAUUCAAUUGCUUAUAGUACUUUUGAAUUCAUUCAGCCUCUUCUAAUCUAACUUUCUUUAAAACUCUUAAGGAUGGGAUUUCUACUUCUAUCGAUAACAUAGCUUUCAUCCCAUAAACUAAGAAAAAUGAGAUUGCCCCAAUAGAGGUAUGCACUAAUGUUUGAUAUGCAUGCAGAGCAAAUGAUAACUUUUCAUGUUAGUCUUUAUAGGUCUUAAUCAUCUUCUCAAGAAUUCUUUUUAUAUUCUUGUUUGCUGCUUUAAUUGCUUUAUUUUUUUUUAGGCACAAUGGUGCUGAAUUAUGAUGUUUGAUCUUGUAUUAAGUGCAUAUUUUUUUCAUCAUCUUACUAUUGAGGUUAUUGAUGUUAUUUGAAAUGAUUUUUUCUGGAAGCUUAUAUCUAUAAAUGAUCUUUUUCUUUAUGAACUUAUAUAUGACAGAUCAUGUCAUAAUUCCAAAUGAAGCUAUUUUCACCUAUUUUAUGAAAUAAUCUAUCAACAUAAAAAUGAACCUUUGCCAUUUAAGGCCUUAGGGGUAAUGGAACCUAUGACGUCUAUACCCUACAUAAAAAAUGGCUAGGGUGGUACUAACACAUGUAAAGCAGUAGACAAAGUAUGAAUCUUAUCAGCAUAAAUUUGGCACUUAUGAUAUUUUUUAGCAUAGUCAAUACAAUCACUCUCUAUUUUUAACCAAUAGUACCUCACUCUCAUGAUCUAUCUUGUCAUCAUAUAUCAAUUUACUUGUGCCUUACAUACUCUAUUAUGUACUUUCUCAAUAAUUUUUUUUCUUUGAUCAUAUUUACGCAUCUCUAUAGCACUUUAUCAUGGCUCUUUUUAUAUAAAACAUCACCAUCCAAUAAGAAGCCUAUAGCUAAUUUCUUGAUAACUUUUUUAUCAUUUUUAUUUACUUAGUUGGAGUAUUGUUGAUUCUUAACAUAUUAUAAGAUAUCAUAAUACCAUGGCUUCUCAUUUUUUUCUUCUUUUUCAUUAAAAUAAUGAGCUGACAUAUCCUUAACAUCUAAUUUGAUAGGUUGAAUAUCAGUAUUAUCAUUAAUUCGGAUCAUUAUUGCUAGAGUAGUCAAGGCAUAAGCAAUCAUAUUCUUUUCUUAAGAUAAAUAAUCAAACUGGAUAUUUUUAAACUACUUGAUCAACUCUAAGAUAUACGUAUGAUAUGGGAUGAGUUUUGAAUCUCUCAUUUUUCAUUCUUCUUUUAACUGAUAUAUGACUAGAGCUAAGUUCUCAAACAUUUUCAAUACUCUAAUCUUUCUAUCUAUAGCAGCUUGUAAAUCUGUAACACUGCUUUAUAUUUAGCAAUGUUAUUUAUGCAAUUAAAAUUCAACCUUACCAUUAUAGGAUAAUAUUGUUCUUUAGAAGAGAUCAAAAUUACCCCAAUCUAAUACCCUAAAGCAUUUGUAACUCUAUCAAAGUAUAUUCUCCAAAACUUCUCAUCAUGCCUUUUCUUCUUAAGUUGGGAAACAAUUAUCAAAUCUUCAUUAGGCAAGUUUAACCUCAUUGGCUUAUAAUUUUUGAUAGCACGAUCUGUGAGAAACUCAGCUAUAAUACUUUUUUUAAUUACCUUCUGGCUCACAUAUAUGAUAUCAUGAGAGUAUCAUUUCCCAUCUAACGAUCUUUUUAGACAAUGAAAGUUUCUUAAAAAUAUAUUUGAUUGGAUCCAAUUUAGCUAUAAGUCAAGUGGUAUGAUAAUGUAUAUACUAUAUGAGUUUUUUGGCUAUCCAAGCUAAUGCAUAACACAUCUUCUCUAAAGAGAAAUACUUAGACUCAUAUUCUGUGAACUUUUUACUUAGAUAGUAGAUAGCUCUCUCUUUUCUGCUAGAUUUAUCUUGUUACCUUAGCAUACAUCCCAUCAACUUCUUACACAUUGUUAGAUAUAAGAUUAAAGGUUUUUUUGAAAUAGAUAGCACUAAUAUUGAAGGAUUAGACAAGUACUGCUUAACUUUAUUAAAAGUUUCUCAAAAUUUCUUAUUCCAUUCACCAAGAUUAUUUUUACAAAAAAAAUUAAAAAUGGGAUCACAUUUGUAGUUAAGUUAAGAAAUAAACCAAAAAAUAUUGUUCAAUCUACCCAAAAAAACCUUGUAUUUUUUUUGUGUGCUUGGAGGUGAUAAAUUUUGAAUAGCUAGUAUUUUAUCUGGAUUAAGUUCAAUCUUUCUUUCACUAAUCACGAAGCUUAGCAACUUCUCUAACUUAGCCUCGAAUGUACAUUUGGCCUAUUUCAACUUAAAUUGAAAAUUUUUUCAACCUUUCAAACAACUUUCUGAGGUCGGUGACAUGAUCUUCUUUUUUAUGAGAUUUUGUAAUCAUAUCAUUUAUGUAAACUCCAAUCUCUUUGUGCAUCAUGUCAUGAAAGAGUAUCACUAUGACUCUUUGAUAAGUUGUUCUAAUAUUCUUCAAACCAAAUGGCAUAACUUUAUAGUAAAAUGUACCCCACAUGAUUACAAAAGUGAUCUUUUUUAUGUUAUCUUGAGCCAUCUUUAUCUUAUUAUACCCCGAGAACCCAUCCAUGAAGAAAAACAUAGAAUGCCUGGCUGUACUAUCAUCAAUGUGUUAAUACGAGGUAAAAGAAAGUUAUCCUUCGAGUUGGCCUUAUUCAAAUCAUGACAAUCCAUACAUAUUCGCACAUUCUCAUCUUUUUUAAAAAUUGGUACAAUGUUGGCUAC